rnacentral:lncRNA from 1 species
UUUUUUUUUUUUUUUUUGCACUUUUUCUCCUCUGUUAGUCCACCUCAACAAAUGAUCCGUUGAAACAUUAAAUAAAUUAGACGAAUAUGCCUCUCAUUUAAACUGUUAAAAUUUCAGAUGAAAAUGCCCCCAUGUAUUAUUUAUAAAGAAACGUUUCCCUUCAAAUCCAAAAAUAUUUUGUUAUCAUUUCAUUCAUCAAAACCUUUAAACUUCCAAGUCCUACAUUUGCAGCCCAAAUAGGAAAAAAAUGUCCCAAACUUUAUCAAAUUCAUUUCAUUACUCUUCCUUCAAACGUUGUCCAUCACAGCAUCUAAAAGAACUAAAUCAAGAAACCUAUGGAUGUAAUAAAAUAGCACCCUCAAGAAGAUCAUGAACAUUGAAAAAUCUCAAAAGGAGAUUUAUUGGGUGUUCAAAUUAUAAGAUAAGAUUUGUACGAUAAAUCAAUAUCUUUUUAACUUUUGGACAAAAUAAUUUGAAAAAAUAAUAUUUUUUUCCUAGAAUCGUUAAGCAUAUGAUUUUCUUGUUUUCUCUUUGCAAAAUACAUUAGCAAGAGCAGGUCUUUCUCUCCAAGAAAGGUAUUUUUGGAAAAAAAUAUAUAUAUAUUGCCCCAUCCAAACCCAUAAGCACAGUUUUGUCUAUCCAUUAUUUUACUAGGGAUACCAUUGUCCUUUAAAGAUAAACGGUCAUCACAAUUACUACUUGAAUGGCUGUUACGUCUACGAAUAUUAAUAUGUUGUAUUUUGAGCAUGUGAUAAUUGUUAGGUCCGAGCUAUGAUUUAAAUUUAAGCUACAUCAAUUCGAUCCAAUCUAAACUAGGAGUAUUAAAUUUGUAUUUUUCUAUAUAAUUUUUUUUUCGAGUUAAGCGCGGUGAUAAUGUGGCCCUAAUCAGCUUGGCCCAAUCAUUAAGGCGAUGCAUGCAUUAGAUUGAUCGUAUCAUGGCAUCUUCGUCAGGAAAAAAUUCUAGGAUUAUAGAAGUAGAAGUCAAAUCCGCUAAGCUAAGUUCCAUUAAGGCAGGGAUCAGCCUGUACGACGUUCGUGUAUCGAUCAGCGAAAGCCAAGAGCUUCGAACAAGGUUGGUCAAGUUCACCAAGGGUUUUCUUACUACUGCAAAUUCGUUUUUUCGGUUCCACAGCACUUCGUCUUCGAUGACAAGUCCACCGUUUCCUUCACCGUCUUCAAAGCCCGCAAAUAUUUACCGGACGUCCCAAUUGGAAAGGCCACUGGCGAGAUGAGGGCUCUUUUCCCGGUUGAUGAGUGCGAGGAAGAAAACCAUGAUGACCUUGAGGACAUCGUCGAUUAUUACAUUGAUACGGAUGAUGAUGAUGAUGAUGGAGCAGAGGCUGAACUACGAGUAAAGGAGACCUACGAAUUAAAAGCGUCGGCCGGUAUCCCGAUUCUCAAAGACUCGUCCGUGGUUGGAACGCUGAAUGUCUCUAUAGUUGCAUGGGAAAAGUACUACCCGCAUCAGGUGAACCUCUGUGGGAGAGCGAGCAAGUCUUAUUCGAUUCGUAGAGAUUCCAAGAAAGUUGGAAGUAUGAUUUUGCAGAAAGCCAAGCAGGAAAAGUGUGUAACAUUCGUUGGUAAGGUUAAGUGGCGAAAUUUAGCUAUGGAAUUGAAGAAUUCAGGAUGCAGCUGCGAGAAGGUGAGAAGCCGCCAAAAAGGAUCACUGGGGAUGUGUUUUGCCUGUGCCUCCCACAGUACCCUGGAUUAGGAAGAAAGAAACACAUCAUCAUUACAGAGCAAGUUCCCUUAGAUCAUCCCUGACUUUUGAUUCAAGCCAUAUAUGGUAAACUUUGCCCCACCAUGACCAAUGAGAUUUCCUUGUCUACUAACUAACAUAUGCAAAAACCAUCCCUCAACCUAACAAAUAUCAUGUAAGAAUACAUGUGCAUUCGAAGAUAACUUUUUUAUCUUUUUAAUCAUCUUUGUAUCUGAUACACGCUGUAUCAAAGACAAUGCUACAAUAAUAUUUUUUUUAAUAUUCUUUCAAAUAAUCUUCUACCCAAACACACUCGUACUUAUUAGUUGAGAUUUACUGUACAGAGAAGAAAAACAAUAUUGUGUAUUGGUGUACGAGCAUAUCCACUAUUUAUUUGAAGGGCUGAAUUGUUGAUCCUCCCAAUAUGUGAAGGAACAGACCUUUUCUUUUUUUCUUUCUUUUUUUUAAUUUAGUAGCUAAAGCAGGGAAAGAAAUAAAUAAAAGUUCAGCGGCCCUCUUCAUCUUUUUAACCUAAUUGAGAGGAAGUCCAAGAACGCUACAAUUCCAAGCCCUAACCAUUCCCGUUUCCCACACACUAGAAACUGGCCCAUAACCAAAUUGGCCCAGAUGGAGAGCCUAAAACCAGCUUGAUUCUUAUAAGGUUACGAUGGUCUUUUUAUAAACGCCACUGGAUCGUUCGUUCGUUCCAAGAAAUUUAGAAACCCUCUCUCACGAUCGAUCUCCCUCCCCCUUCUUCUUGCUUGGGUUUUGAGUUUCUGAGAUGAUUUAUUUCCAGUAAAAGUUAAUCAAAAUAGUAAAGACGAAUUCCUGACAGCCGAGCCAAUCGAUUGUAGAGAGAGAAACAAGCAAUGUAUAGAGAGAGAGAAAAGAGGAAUUCAUCUAUGGAGGGGGAGGACCAAGAGGGGGAUCAGAUUCUGGAGAUUAACUUGAUCUCGGCCCAAGGUUUAAAGACGCCGUCCGGAAGUCGUCGCCGGAUGCACACCUACGCACUCGCUUGGGUUGACCCGACAGCCAAGCUCCGGACCCGAACCGACCGUGUCGGAGCCGAAAACCCUACUUGGAAUGAUAAGUUCCUGUUUCGCGUUUCUUCCCACUUCCUUGCCUGCGAAACCUCCGGCGUCACUGUCGAGAUCUACGCCGUCGGCUAUAUCAGAGAUUAUCUCAUCGGCACCGUGCGUUUUCUGCUGAGUAGUUGCCUCGGCAAAUUCCCCUCUUCAGCCGACGCAAUCGCAAUUGGUACUCCGGCGUUCACUGCGGUCCAAAUCCAGCGUCCUUCCGGUAGGUUUCACGGAGUCCUCAACAUCGCCGCUUCGGUUUGCAGCAGCGCCUGUUCCGAUUUUGAAAUAUUCAGCGGCGCGUCGGCAAUUAGUUUCCGUGAUCUCGUGGGUGCUGAGCUUGAGAAAGAAAAGGAGGUUGACCGCCGGCAGCGGCGAAGGCUGAGCCGCAUAGGGUCGAGUAAUAGCGUGCGGUCAUCCGGCGGAGAAUCUUGUGACUUUGACUUUUCUUCGUUGGACUUGUCGUCGGACGGUGCUGAAUCAACGACGUCGUCUUCAUCGACGGCUUCUAAUGCUUUGAAAGAAUGGAAUGGAGUGAGGACGGAGGUGGCCCAGAAAGUCAAGGAAAUGAAAAAUAAGGGUGGUGGAGAAGGAUUACUAUGUGGACUUGUGCUUCAGAGGAGGGUUCGUUUUUGCCAGUCGGAUCAAAAUUUGCGUUUCUGGGAAGAGUCGUUGGAAAGUUAGGAAGCCUGAUGAUGCGGUGGAUUUCUGGUGGGCUGUUGGUUUUGAAUUUUGAUGGCUACGAUUUUGCAGAAGAUCCCCUUUCUUUUUUUGGCAGAUAAAUCAACUUGAGCUUUUGCUAGUUCUUUUUCCACAAAAAAAAAAAAAAAAAAAAAAAAGCUCUUGCCAGUUCUCACCUCCUGUUGGCGAUUUGUUGGGGAAAUUUUGAUAGGUGGGUGGUCUGGAGUUUUCCUGGGAGCAGUAUUAAGCGGGAUAAUGGCGAAAUUAGGGAACUUUUUUGACUGGAACUAGAAUUUUUUUCCUUGGCAUAAAGAAAAUUAGUAGCAAUAGUAGUAGUAGCAGUGUUGUUUAGUUCAUCUCGUUUGGACAUUCGCAUUAGAGUUCAGAAAGAUACACCGCAGACGAAUUUUCCAUGGGAGGAGCUUAGAUGUCAGACCUGCAAUUUUCGAUUCACCUGAUAUGCUAUAGUAUAAUUGAGAUGCCAUGCUGAUCUUGGCUUUAUCUGUCUCUUUGUUCAUUUUUCAGCUUUUUGGGAGGCCGUGGGGAGGGAUUGAGAUUAAAGUUCUUGGGCUUUUGUGCCUGUAUACGGGGAUCUUUAAUAGGCGUGACCUUAAAAUUAGUCCAGGGAUUUGUUAUGGGCUUGAUGCAGGAUUACUUCUUACAAGGCUCUUAUUACUUCUUGACCCAUGGCCACAAGAAGAAGAAGCUCUCUUCUAAUUAGAUUGUGGUAGUUGCUACCCGAACUCGUGCUGCAGCUUUGCAUGUGAUAUGAUGCCCCAAGAGAAGAGAAUGUAGCCGCAGCCUUAGAGUGGACAUUAAUUACUCUGAGAACAGCAUGCAUCACUUUUAACAAUCCAAUUUAGCCACAGUUAAUUUACAGCAUCUGCUGCUAUGCCAUAAGCUUUGUGUGGUUUUAGAAAUGGCCGAAUGGGCACAUCCAUUCAGAAUACGCUGAUCUAAGGAGCUCAAUUACAUUAGCAAUUUUAGAAACUUAACCGCUAAUGAAAAGACAGUAGUCAUGCUUGCCCCUUUUUACGUACUUAGUAGUAAUAAAUGUUUGCCAAAAGCCGCUUCAAAAAUAGUCAGUAAUAGAAUAUUAGACGUGCCAUCGCUGCAGCAUUUCUUUCACGAGGAUCACAGUUUUGAAAGUGUCAUUUUUUCAAUGCCCUGGUCUAGUCAAUUGACAAAGUCAAAUUUUGUUGAAGGUUAUAAUUUAUUAAAACUGUUGGACUAUGCCGCAAGAUUUCAACAAUUACACAGUAUAAGCCACACUAAAGUGAUGUUUGGAUCGCUAGUUAUCUAAGGGUGCAGUGAUUAAAUUUGAAAUAAGUGAUUGACAGGAGAAAGAUUUGUUGAUUAAUAACAGCUGAAAAUUACAGGUGUUUGUAUACAAUUCACCGUGUGAAGGCAUGCAUGACAUUUUCUCUUCAUUUGUUGAGCGGUCGAGGUCUUUGGUUUGUCGUUAUAUUUUUUCUUUGGUUCUCAUGAAUAGGGAAUUUUGCCGUUUUGGUCCCUAAAUAAUUUCAUCAAAACCAAUCUUGUUUUUCAUGAUUUAUUUUGAUCAAUUUAGACCUCGAACAAGUUCUUUACUUCCAAUAUAGGACUUAUGUGGUGGCGCCACCACAGUUUAUACAUUUCGUGGCGUGGCCGGGCAAGGGCAUAAUCAUCAUAAGAGGCUAAACUUGUGCAAUUAAGAGAUGCAACAGAUCAAAACUUCCGCAAAUUUGGUUGGAUGAGAGGGUGGUUCCCCUGGAUCACCAGGAUAUCAAUUAUAAACUUGCCUGGGAUGGAUUUCUUUCAAAGGUGACUUCCUUAUGAAUUUCUUCUGUCAUUCUCUUUCGAAGGUGAAUUCCGAAACUUGAAAAGUUGAAGCCAUAUUUGGCACCUAAUUUGUGAAUUCUGCUCGCGAUGAUCUCUGUGACUGAUCUCUAUCUAUAAUUCUUUUUAUUCAGUUGAAAAUGGCAAAGAGGAACUGAAAACCUACGUUGAAAGUGGAAAACUUAUUCGGAGGAGGGUUAAAUUGUUUAAAAUAAAUCAUGACGAAUGAACAAAUAUGAUUUUAGCGAAAAUGUUUAUGGAGCGAAAUGGUGAAAUUCCCCUCAUGAGUAUGUGAAAGACAUAUUCUUCUUGUUUUUUUUUUUUUUUCCUGUCUAUCUAAUAAUCUUUAUCAAAUCACCAUGACCUAACGCUAUAUGCCGGUGGCACGGCGGUCUAUUUGUUUCCCCCCACCCCAUAGCAUCCUUUUAGUAUGCAUGCACUGUGGACUGGAGCCGAGUUCCAACCUUUAAUCUAAUGCUGCGGCUUUACUACUCCUGCUACUGCUAGUGGCUCGUCUUUGACAUUUGACAUGACCUUUAUCACAAAACUGAAAAUCCGAAAUUCCAAAUGUGCUCGAGCAAAAGUAGAUAUGAUGAUGAGUCUUCGGCACAUGUCCAGACCCUAGGGGUCAAAAUUUCAGGACUUCAAUGGAAUUCAGACACGUCUGUGAUAGAGUACUGUGUGACGCAGAUGGAGCAAACGUUAAACACAAUACAAAAGGAAACCAAUCCCGACAACUCCCAUCCAUCCAUCAAGAAUCAAGGGGCGGGGCGCGAAUUAUACACUACAUCUAAGACUUCUAGGAAGUAGCACAACAAUGGAGAGGGGUCAAUUCUUUAGUCUAUUCAAGACUUUGAAGCCUGCUGUUGUGAUUUAAAUCUGGAUCAGAUCAAAUGCAAGUCUGCAUCUGUUUGACCUGAACCCUGCUGUUGUGAUUUGGAUUUUAUGUCUGAUCGGAUCAAAUGCAAAUCUGCAUCUGUUUUAUUUGCUGGUUACUGCUUCGAUCCUCGAAUUGGCAGUUGGCAGUUGGCACAGGCUCCACUUCCCAUAUUAUCAUCCAGGAUUGGCUAUCCACUUAUUUGCCUUUCCUGCCAAGUAAAUACUCCUUCCACCUUAGUAGGAAGUUAGUAGUACUGCAGGUUACUGCUGCCGACUCUUUUAUUUAACUCGACACUUUUUAAGCACAAAGGUCUACAAUUUUAUUAACCCCUCAAACUUUUUAUUGGCUUUACAUUUAUCUGAAUUGGCUACAGUUAUCUGCUCUGGUAUUUUAUGAUACGAUGUACUUUUCUUGUAUCGUCAAUUACCCUCGAAUACCUUUAGAAUCGAAAACAUGUAGGCCUGGAAAGAUGCAGGGCUGUUAGAUAAAAAGAAAAAAGCAAGAUGAGGACUAAAGAUGGGAAAGUUGCUUGUUAUUCGUUCUAAUGAUAAAGGCCCUUGUGAAAUCUGCUACCAGAAGUCUGUGUUUGGAUAGUAAAUUAUUUGAGACAAUUUUGUAAAAAAAAUACCGUAACAUUUUUUUGAUGUGAUAUAUGUAAAAUAAAAAGGUAAUUAAAAAACAAGAUAAAAAUAAUAUGUAAUCCAAACGCACAUCCAAAUAAGGCAAUAACUAAAAAUUUCUAUAAUCAAUAUCCAGACGGAAAGAACCAUAUGGAUACUCUUCUUCUUCUUCCUCCUCCUUUUUUCCCCUUUCUUUUAACCAAGUGGUUAAAUUGACAGUAGUAUCAUUUUGAUACAAAUCGGUAAACUUUUGGUGUAAUCAUGAUUUUUGUACCAACUCAAUUCUAAAUUUGCUUUCACACCAAUAUUGUAUUAGUUUAUAAUGAAUGUUAUAGUACAUGGAUUAUACAACUGGAAAGGCCAUGAAUCAAAGCUUAUUUUCUUGCGGCAAAUAGAAACGGAACCUCAAAACACAAAUCAGUGAAGUGUCCACCUACAAGGUUUCGUUUCGUAUCGCUCCUCUAAUAAUAAUCCUUUUUAUUUGUCGAGAUCCAUCCAUCAUUCUUUAAAACUACUUCAACUAGAAGCAACUUGUCGAAUCCAAGAAAAUAUAACUUUUGAGAAGGGGAAAAAGAAAAGUGAAGCAACAGGAGACAAACCACAUCAGGAACAAGUACAGAGACGAGGCACAAAUGCUUGUGGAGCAUCAUCUGAAGAAGAAAGAAACGAAUUGAUUCGAAUGGGUACCAAAAAGCACAAAUUGUGAUAAUACUCUAAUUUGGAUGUGGUGAAUCUUUACAUAGACCCCGCAAAUCGCAACCACCGUCUGCUACCUUUUUUAUCCUUUGGUAUAUUGCCAUGACAAUUGUUUUGUACAGCAUUAGCCUACACUUUGUACACAAGUACUCGUAUUUUCGCUAUGAUUCCCGUUCGACAAAUGAAUUUUUUGGAUAUUUGUUUAAAACAUUACUGUAACUUACUGUAGAAGUUGUAAAAAAAAAUUUUAAGAAGUGUUUUGAGAUUACUGUGGCGGCUAAAGUUGUUGAAAAACGUAUAGUAAACAAACUUAGUCAAAAGCUUGUUUGCCAAACUAACCCAUAUUUAGGUUUGUAUUUUCUCUACAUUUUUUUUUUUUUGGGUCUCUUUCCACUCUUUCACAGAUGCUGCUCAAAAUUAUACAAACAUUUGGGUUCUCCAGAUACUUGCUGACUUAAUUUGUGUUCGGAUAAAUAAUAAAUGCAAUUAUGUAUCUUAGGGGAGGAUGAGAAGUGAUUUCUUUCAAUCAGUUGUUUAAAUUCUCAUUUGGGAAAAGACUCUCCCGUGGCAAGGUUCUGCACAUAUAUAUCUAUCCAAUAACAACUCAUAAUACCAUCUGAUUGUGUAAUCAAAUUAAAAAUGGCUUCUGUCUUCAGGUAUUCAGCCAUUGCAUUGUCCGUCCGUCCGUCUCCCCAUGAUUGCCGUCGACACUAAUUAUAAACUAAUCUCGUCAUUUUCAAUUAGGAUGGAGAUGGAGUGGAUUAAUUUACGACUAUAUACGAAGCCAUAUUCAAGGUUUUUUGUCUACAAAAUCUUGACAGCUGCAUGCAAAAUAUUUAAAAGACUACACCGAUAAGCAAUUUUACUUGGACUUGGACAGGUAUUAGUUAAAGAAUAAGCAGACAUGAGAGGUCCAUUCUAAUUGAAGUUUCAGAUUUUUGUCUAAGAACAAAUGUAUUUGUUUUUUUUUUCAAUCGCUCUGGCAAUUAGUAGGACCUUCUGACAAGUCGUGACAGAAAAUUAUCGAGGGACCUUGCCCGGUAAGCAUUUUGGUCCGUUUUAAGAACAUCAUCAAUGUCAGUUUGGGUCAGAUUUUUUUUUUUUCCAAAAUUUUUGAAAAUUAGUACAACUAGGGGAAAAGAGGCUAAUUAACCAACGACACAGAAUUUUAUAUGUGCAAUUUGUUUGAUGGCACCGUCACUCGACUUAAGACCCCCUGUCUAGUUUUGUAUGAGGUGCUAGAAUUGUUUUGCUUGGGCUCUGUCUUUCAACCCAGUUCAGCACUUAAAUUUAAUGGAUUCAAAUCUUAAUAUAUCCAAAUCAUUGGAUAAUCAAAAAUUGAACAUCUGAAUUAAUUAAGUGUCACUGAAUUUUCUAGGCAAAACUUGUUUCCAGAAUUUAGUGAUAAGUGUAAAUGUAAUAUGCGCCCAAAUGUAUUAGAUUUAAUACUUAAUAAUUCAAUAACUUAAUAUAUUCAAAUUUCAGAUUUUAGAUUUCAGUUUUAUCAAACGCACCCUUAGUUAUUAAGGGAAAAUAAGUAAUUAAUGGAACCCUUUUAAGUGAUGGAGCACAUGGCAAAACAUGGUUUAGGUUCAACAUUUAUGCUUAACAAAAGCUUAAUCAUGUAUUAUUGUCAAACAUCCCGAGAAAAACCAUCUUGAAAGUUAAAACCCGAAAUUGAGAGUUCAUCUAAACCUAGCCAAGCUGUUGAACCAAUCCAACCCUGGACCGGGGGAGAAUAAUUAAAGGGUUCAUCAAGUGUGUCACCUUCAACUUCUAAGUCAAAACCAACCAAUAGUAAAGUAUAUAUAUAUAUAUAUAUAUAUAUAUAUAUAUAUAUAUAUCAGCAAGCACUACUGUAUCAUCAAGAAAAGAGAAAUGUGUGAGUAGUAGACCUUCUGUAGCAAAGACUUGUUAUUAGUUAGUACAUACUAUAACAAGACAAGGCGUGAUGCAAUAUUUUGAAGUUGCUUGGGAGGGAACAACACUUUACAACACUUGAAUUUAUAAACAAAAUAUUUAGAAGUGACACAUGAGUCAUGACUGGCUGGAAAGAGAGGGGUUUUAGUGUUGUGGCUGCCUAGUGGCUUUUCCACUCACUACCAAGCUCUUCCUUUUUGUGCAUAAAUAAGGGUUAAUUCCACUUUGUCCCCCCAAACUUUGGACGAUUAUCCACUUAAGUCCCUAAACUUCAAAAUUGGACACUUAAGUCUCUAAACUUAUAAAUACCUCCCACUUAAGUCCCUGAACUUAUAAAAUGGGACACUUAAAUCCCUAAACCCUUAUAAAAUGGGACACUUCGACCACCAACAGCAUUCAGGAUUUGUUAACAAUUUUCCUUAAGUGGGAGGUAUUUAUAAGUUUAGAGACUUAAGUGUCCCAUUUUGAAGUUUAGGGACUUAAGUGGAUAAUCGUCCAAAGUUUGGGGGGACAAAGUGGAAUUAACCCCAUAAAUAAUUACACAUUGAUGCAAAAGUAAAGCUUGUAAGGUCAAUGCCCCGUGAAUAUGAUCGUUCGACCUUUAUUUAAUGGGCGUCUCAUGUGAUGUGUUGCCUCAACUGUUUAGCUGUUGUUGGGCACAAAUUACUCUUGCAAAUAAAUUACACUUCUUUUAAUAUCUUAUAGACUAUUACACGGAAAAAUGGUGAGAUUUAAGAAGUGACGAGAGAAAAGUGAGAAUUGAAAUUGAAAUCUUCAAUUUUUAAAAUUUCAACCAUAACCACCGCCAGACGAAAAUUAGUUCGACGGGUUACAAAAUAAUAAUUAAUUCACCUAAAGUAAAAUUGCAAUUUGCACUUCACGUUUUCUAGACGACGUCCACAGGUUUUUUUUUUUUUUGUCGACCACACAACCACAAGUCAUACGCCAUAUUCUCAAUUCCACUAGCGACAAGCAAGAAAGUAGAAACCAUAGUAGUGUAUUUUACUUGCUUUUCUGGUAAUGCAUGAUUCAAAUCGAUUAAACAUUGUCGUCUUUUGAUUGCACAUAGGAAAGCAUGUAAUUACGUCAUGGCUUCUAUGUAUAUUAUAUUGGUGAUACGUGUGCUUAUCAAGACUGGCAUUGGAUCGCAUAUUCCAGCCAAAAACCGUACCGUAUGUUCUAUUCCUUCCUUGUUUUGUUGCCCAGAGGGGGUUCUUUUUUUUCCCUUUCUUUCUUGUUUCUUUUUUCCCCUUUCAUCCGACCUUCCAAGAAAGAGAAACAGAGAAGACAGAAACAAGGAGACGCCGGGUAAAGUAAACAUAGGGGAGAAAGGGAUACUGCAAACAACAAAAGAAGAAGAACUACUAACGGGGAAAAAGAAAAAAGAAAAAGGAAUAAGUAAUGUUGCAUUGCGUGGACAUUACUUUUGAACUUUGUGAUGUUGAGCAUCAUGAUUUGUGCCUAUCUAAUGAUGGUCGACAUAUCACUAGUCUUAAAUGGGAAGGAAAUGUUUGAAGUCGGCACUGACUUACACACUACAUAGUUCUCUGUAUUAAAUUUUAUAAGCACUUGUAUCUCCUCCCCUUCUACUUUGCCCGAACACCAAAUAGCGUAUUUGUGAUGUUACAUGAGAUUCUUUUCUAAUUAAUUUUUUCUACAUUGAUACAGUUUAUAUGCUAAUAGCUCUGUCAUAUGCUCAAAAUUUUAAAGUUUAAGGUCAAAUUUAAAUUUUCCUAUCUAAACCACAUGAUGGUAUGGAUGGCUAAAUAUUUUCUCAUACUAGAACUUGCAAACCUGCAUGCGUAUCAAUGCAGACCUUAAAUCCAACAAGCCAUACACACAGUGAUUGUGGAAUUGAUGUGAAAAUUUUCCACCAAAUCGAUAUGGCUUCACAUGCAUACCCCGGUGUUUAAAAUCCUUAAAAUCAAGUAGGUGAGUCCACAUUACUCACUUUCUAACAUGUAGCAUGUUGAAACAAAAACACACCCUAUGUGCCUUGCCUCAGUCACAUUUAGGGACGGACCCAAAAUUUUACCUUAAGGAAGAGGACGAUGUAGGGGAGGGGGAGCUCGAAGCGGCUUGUACGAGAACUGGACUCCCCCUCCCCUGUAGUGUAGGUUAGUGGAAGAGUAUGAUAGAUUGUUACCGUUGUUGAAAAAAAAAAUGAUGUAGGUCCAAUGGAGUUAAAGAAUAGUUGAUGUUUGAAAUAAGUUUAAUGGAAUUAGGGAAGGUUCAGUGUUUGAUCAAAUAAACAACAACAGUUGAUGAUUGUAAUAGUUGUUGUUAACUAAAUACUUGUAUAUGUUUUCUUAAUUGUUAUUUUAAAGUUACAUUACUGACUAAUCAUAACUAAUACAGAGGAAGAUAAGAGUUAGUUUGUCAUACAACACUUCCACAGAUAUUUCUUAAUUGCUAUUUAAAAGUUCAUUUUUUCUAAUUUUUCACACUCAUUAACACACCUAAAUUACACCUGAGUUUUUAUAUAAAUACGCACUUACAUUUAUUGUAGCCCUGAAUUAUGAUACUGUCUCGAAUUAACUAAGGCUCCGUUUGGAUUAGCUGUUUUUGGGGUUGUUUUUCAAAAACACCACUGUAGCAUUUCGAAUCUGAAAAACAAGUCCGUUUGGAUUAGUUGUUUUUGGGGUUGUUUUUCAAAAACUAUAUGAAAAACUUUUACUGUAGAUUUUUUUGGAUUAUUUUUAGAGGUAUUUUUGAAACAUAUUUUUGAGUAUUUUUAGAAUAUUAUAAUUUUUAUAUUUUUAUAUAAAUAUACAUUUAUUCAUUUAUAAUACAUUUAUAUUUACAAAUGUAUAAAUGUAUAUUAUUACAAAUGUAUAAAUGUAUAUUAUUAUAAAUGUAUAAAUUAUAAAUGAAUAUUAUAUAAAUGUAUAAAUUAUAAAUUAUAAUUUUUAUAUAAAUAUACAUUUAUGCAUUUAUAAUACAUUUAUAGAUAUUUAUAAAAAAAUAUAUUUAUAUAUUCAUAUAAAAAUAUAUAAAUGUAUUAUAUUAUAUAUAAUACAUAAUAUAAAUAUAUUUAUAAAUGUAUAAGUGUAUAUUAUUAUAAAUGUAUAAAUUAUAAAUGAAUAUUAUAAAUAUAUUAUAAAUUAUAAGUGUAUAUUAUUAUAAAUGUAUAAAUUAUAAAUGAAUAUUAUAAAUGUAUCAAUUAAUAUAUUAUAAAUAUAUAUUAAUAUUAUGUAGAAAUAUGUUUAUAUAAAUAAUAUAAAUGUAUAUAUGUAUUAAUAUUAUGUAUAAAUGUAAAAUUAAUAUUAUGUAUAUUAAUAUAAAUGUAUAAAUGUAUUAUAUUAUGUAUAAUACAUAAUAUAAAUGUAUAUUUAAAUGUAUAAGUGUAUAUUAUUAAAAAUGUAUAAAUUAUAAAUAAAUAUUAUAUAAAUGUAUAAAUUAAUAUAUUAUAAAUAUGUAUUAAUAUUAUGUUGAAAUGUAUUAAUAUAAUUAAUAUAAAUGUAUAAAUGUAUUAAUAUUAUGUAUAAAUGUACAUUUAUAUAAAUGUAUAAUAUAUUAUAUAUUAUAUUAUGUACAAUUUAUAUAACAUAUAAUAUUUAUGCAAAUAUAUUAUAAAUAUAUAAAAUAUAUUAUAAAUAAAAUAAAUAUUUAUAAUAUGUAUGUAUAAAUAUAUAAUAUUAGAAAUGUAUAAUAUAUAUAAUAUAAUUUAUAUAUAAUAUACAUAAUUGAAAUAUACACAUUAAUAUAUAUUAUAAAACAAAAUUGCAUAAAUAUAUUUAUAAAUUUAAAUAUAAAUAAAUGUAUUUAUAUAAAUAUAUAAUAUUAUACAUAAUUGAAAUAAAUAUAUUUAUAUUAAUAUAAUAUAUAUAUAUAUAAUAUACAUAUUAAAAUAUAUAAUUAAAAUAUAUUAAAAUAUAAUUGAAAUAUACAUAUUAAAAUACAUAAUUAAAAUAUACAAAUUGAAAUAUACUUAUUAAAAUAUACAAAUUAAAUAUGCAUAAUUGAAAUAUAUUUGGAGUUGUUUUUGAUAUAUUGUUUGGAUAUAGUUUGUUUUUGAAGUUGUUUUUGAAAUACACAUUUACUGUAGCAUUUGGAAUGUGAAAAACAGUUUUUCAAAAACAGGCACAAAAACACUCAAUCCAAACGGACCCACACUUUUUCAAAAAAAAAUCAAUAUUUGAACCCCCGUCUUAUUGAGUGCCCAAUGAGCACCAGUUAACCAAGUUGUUAAAAGUUAUAUACAACAUGAGAGUUAUACUAAUUGUGUAGUGUAAUGAUAUACGAAAACCAAGCAUUAGUUUAUUGUAGGAUACUUUUAUAGGGAGAAAUUAAAGGGAUAAUAAAAUAACCAAUAAUAAUUUUGCGAGGGGAAAGUGACAUAUAUGGGGUGGGUGGGGGAGCAAAGUGAUUAAUUUUAGUUAUAAACUAUACACGUAUGGAGUUUUCAGAAGAAUUUUGGGAGGGGUUGGGGGUAAUUAAUGUGAGAUUUGUACACAGGUCUGUAACGUAAAAUUCAAUGCUUUUGUAUCGUGAUAUGCCGUUACAAAGUUUACUCUUGAUUCGGACCGGGUUCAACACGAUUGGAAUCUAUGCGGUUGGUAUAGUUGUUGUACAUAUUUAAAUUUGUGAUGUAUAACUACAUAAUAAUAUUGUAUUGAAUAUAAGUUAAAUAUUUUAUUUAUGUAUAUCGCUUUUUUCACGGGUACAAUAAUAUAAUAUGAUUAUCUACUAAAUAAUGUAAAAAGUACAAUAAUCGGACCAAAUUGAAUGGAACUCCAACCACCCCUGCUCCUUUUCCCUCUUUAUGACAAUGUUUAAUUUUUAUUUAAUAAUACCAAAAGUCUUACCAUUCUCUCUUUUAGCAAUUCCAAUUCACACCUAACUUAGAAAACCUUUUAUUAUAUUUCCCACAAAAAAGAAAGAAAAAUCAUCCCCCACAACAUCUUAACCUUGAACUCCUACCGGUCCAUUACACAAUACUGAAUCGUUUUUUUUUUUGGGUCUAACGUCAACAAUCUACUCUACUUCUAUGCUAUGGGGUGAAUUUUUUUACGAUAAGAAGUACUAUAUUUCCCCUUAAUAAUGCAUCAGGAGGCGGGAUUUAAAACUCCGAUCUGGUGCACAAAAAAGCUCUUAGAGGCUGCCAUGCCAUUAGAUCAAAUACCCAAUGGUUUCCAAUACCGAAUCUUUCUGCAGUAGCUUUAGCUUGCAAUUAGGCAUUGAACUGCAUAAAAUUAUGUUUAAGCAGCAGCCAGCCAGCCAGCCAGCCAGAUGAUCAGAGAGGACCUUCUUUUAAGAUGGCUGUGCUGCUGACUAUCGUACUUGUGCAUCUAUGGGAUUCAGAAGGGGGAAAACAACCGCACAAUCCCCAGUACUAGUACUGUCACUUUUAUGUAAGCUAGUUGCAGCAUCAUCAAGUGCACAAUUUCACCUGCACUUGGACAUUUUCUAUUGCUGUCCAACCCUAGAGGACUAUAACUUAACAUGCCCUCACCUUGAGGCCCUCCCAUUAAUUGUUGCUUUCAAUGAGACUGCUGCUACUGCUAUUCUUUGCUCUGAAACUGCAGACAAUAUGAUGCAUCAGCGAGUUUAAUAAAGAGCUAAUUUCUACAUUAAAUAUAAUCUAGCAAAGUCAAUUCAAGUGAGGUAGACAUAUUGAAAGAUUUUACAGAUACGUAAUAUGUCGAUCCAUUUUGAUGUAAUAUGUGUGUUUGGACGGGAAAUUAUUUGAAAUAAUCACUGUAGUAUUUUCUGUAAUGUGACGUCGUGAGAUAAAAAGAUAAUAAAAAAAAUGAAAAAUUAGGAUUUAUGGUAAAAAAUUCAAUAAGCUUAAUUGCAUGUAUAUCUUGCUUAAAAUAUGAUCGAAUAUUGAAGGCGAAUUUUUUUUUUUAAAAAAAAAAAGAAGAAGAAGAAGAAGAGCUUGGGCAAGUUAAGACAUCACAUCAAAAGUUAGAAAGAUCAAAAAACACCCCGAUUAAACUACACAUCUUUGUGCUGUGCACUUGGUGUCUAAGAAAAGGCAAAAGUCGAUAUGAAACAGUUGUUGAAAAUGAUUUUUCGUCCUUCUUUUCAGAGAGCUUUGGAUAUGUGAUUGAAGAUUAAUUGAUUUUGCCUAUUAUUGUCUUAUAAAUAUGUAGAAGGUUUCAAGACCUCAUUGUACGUCACUUAAUAUAAAAUGCAAAACGUGCUUUUCAGCUGUUAUACGUAUAAUAAUAAUAAUAAUAAAAAGAUUAAAAUAAAACCCACAAACACAACAUAUAGUAUAAGUUAGGUAAAGCAGCCCUAUUGGAGGAGGAAAUGCCUUUUUAACCAACCAAAAAAAUAAAAAAAUAAAAAGACCCCAUUAUUCCAUUCUAAAUUCCACAAACAAAAGCAGCUUUGUGUCUUAAAAGCAAAAAUUAGAAAAAGCCUAAGAAUAUGCGUUAAGACUCAAGAAUCAAAAAUUGAAAUGAAAACAUUUUAAAACGGCUUUCCUGUCAUUAAUUUGGAUUUGAAUUGAACAAUGAAAGGAAUACCUUGAAAAUGUAGCCAUAGAAGAUAUAAUAAAUUCUUUUUUGAGUUAGUGCAAAUGAGUAAGCAAAGUCACUAAGAGGGCACAAACAAGAAUCACUUUUGACAUAUUAACAGCUUGCAUUUCCCCACACUUUAGGACAAAAAAAUUAUUCAUACGACAUAGGAUAGAUUAUAUAGUAGAAGAUGAAGCAUGUUUCUACAUGGAUCACAGAAAACUGCCACCUCCCUCUUCCAAGCUCAGCCCAAAGCAACCUUUUUUUCCCUGCAUUUAUUUUAGACCAAGGAAAAGAAUGGCAGGGAAACAAAAAAAGAGAAAGGAAAAGAAACACCAAUUGAAAGCUCAGUCUGAUGAGCAAGACAGCAUUAUAUCCUUUUGGAAAAUUUGACAAAUUGGUCCCUAACAUUUUCACAAAAAACUUUUUUAGUCCCUAAUAUUUAAAAUCAGCCAGAAUAGUUUCUAACAUAUAAAUUAUGAGUCAGUUUGGUCCUAAUGCUCGUAUUUGCUCUUUUUUUUUUGGCUAAAAAUGGCACACCGGCAUAAUUUCAAGGGUAAAAUUGGAAACAUCCGUUAAUCCAUAAUUUUCCACCAUUCUCUUUCUUUCUAAUGGUUUUCGCCAUUUAGCAGCCUAAUCAAUGUCUCCGCACACAGACAUCGUGGCUGCCUAUUUUGGCUUGGGAAACACAUCAGCAGUGUCGAAAAAGCUUCUACGGUGUGGCGAUGCUUUCCAUGGCGAUGGAACCAUCCCUACUCUGUUCAAUGCCUUGGGCUGUUGGGACAUGGCAUUGGCGUUAUUACUUGGGAAUGUUGAAUACCAGUUUAUGUUGUGAUCCACUGGCCUUGCAGCCUUAGAAUAUGGACAUUUAUUUCCAAUUGCCGCCGCAUUCGCAUUUUGUGAAAUAGAAUGCUGCUGUUGAUUAGGCUGCUUUACUUGGAAGAAGUUGUUAUUGCUGUUACCAUCAAUGCACCGAUACUGAAAUAGAUCCCGGGAAACUCUCGACUCCGAUGCCAAUCUCCUUAGCUCGACCUUUUUGGUAGGCUCUGGGUCCGAGUUGGAAUCCAGCAGUCGUUCUAGUCCCAUGAGCCUCGCAAUGACGGUGGGGGAUCGUCGUUGUUUGUCAUCUCCAUCGUCGGUGGCAUUGGCACUUAAGAUGACAGAGCUGGUUUUGAUCUCUCUCAAAUGAAGGCUUCCCUUGGCGUCUGAUUACUAUAUGGCGAAAACCAUCAAAAAGAAAGAGAAUGGUGGAAAAUUAUGAAUUAACGAAUGUUUCCAAUUUUGCCAUUGAAAUUAUGCCGGUAUGCUAUUUUUAGUUGGAAAAAAGAGCAAAUACGAUCAUUAGGACCAAACUUGUUCAUAAUUUAUAUGUUAGGAACUAUGCUGGCUGAUUUUAAAUGUUAGGGACUAAAAAAUUUUUUUAUGAAAAUAUUAGGAACCAAUUUGACAAAUUUCCCUAUCCUUUUUUAUUGUGGCCAAAAUCCCAUGUUUUUUCCUUCACCACGAUAAAAAUCUCUCAAUUAAAAACCUCUUCCUUUUAUCUUUGUGGGGGAAGAAUAGUAGUACCAACUACCAAGUACCAACUAGUAGUGGUAUAUUAGUAGUAGCAGUAUUCUAACAAAGCCCUGUUCAUAUUAAAAAAGCGCCUUCUCCUCCCUUUCAUUCUUCUCUUGCCUGUCGUUUCUUCCUGGCAUCGAGAGAACGUCAAGCUAAAGAAACCCCCCCAAAAGCUAAAAAACAUAAAAGAAAAAAGAAAAAAAAAAGGGGGGAAGGAAACCACCCCUCCAAAUUCCAAUUCAUCCAUCCCCCACCUGUCACUCUCUUCUUCCUCUUCUUUUUCUUAGUUCUUAGGCUCUCCGUCUUUGUAACAUGCGCCUUAUUUAUUCGUAGUAGUAGUUUUAAGUCACCCAAUAAUCCCAUACCCAAAAGCCAAUUUUUCCCCCUUCCCAUCAAGCAACAAUAACCCUGUUUCAACAAUCCAUUUUUAUAAAUUAUGUCCGUUUCCUUGGACAUUUUCUCUGCUAAAUCUUGCGGAUUCUGAGCAAUCUGGGAAAGGCCCUUUUGUUCACUGUUUCAGUGAAGAAGGGGUUUUUGUAAUAAAGGUAUGAUGUUUUUCUAUUUGAGAUAUGAAUUUUGACGUUGAAGAUCUACUUUCUGUUUGUGUUGCUAUUGAUUUCUGUCAGCCGUUGGGCUUGUUUGAUGUUUGAUUGAUGGCUAUAUCUGGUCUUUUUUGUGUAUUUUUUAAUGGGUUUUUACCUAACAUUUGAGUUUUAUAAAUCUCUCCUCUGAUGGUUCAUUUAAGGCUUGAUGUGCCAAUGUUUGCAAUUGGUUAUUGUCCAAGUAAAAACCAAAAAAAAAAGAAGGAAAAGAAUGGUUUUUGUUCUUCAUUUUUCCUACUCUCGAUUUACUCCAAUACCUUGAUGCAUACAUUUCCCUUGGUUAGAAAUGCCAUAUUUUUAUGCAUUUUCUGUAAAAGCCUUUUGUGGUAAGAGCUAGCUUAUUUGCAUUUUGCUCUUUGCUAUAUUGCUUUGAAUGGUAGUCCAAUGUUCUUUGUAUACAGAAUGAAGGUCUCGAAUGCAUAAAAGGGUAUGUUGAUGCUUAUUUGGCUAGUCUCGUAUAUUUUUUUUUUUAGUUUCCGCUUCUCCUCCUGGUCAUUGAUUUCUUUUUUUGAAUUCUGAAGCUUUAAUUUUUUUAAUUCAAUUCUACUUUGAGAUUUACAGGUACUAUCUUUCGAAUGGUAUGAAUUGCUGAAGGUUAUUCUUUAACAGAAUUGUCAAGGGCUUUAUUUCUUCUUGGUAACUGAUCUCACAAGUCAUGUAUUCAUCGUUGUCCAAAGAUAUAGUUUUGAACAUUCCUUUUGGAAACAUAAAUGGGACAGCAGAAUGUACACAACUUCAAUAAUAUUGAAAACCAAGCACCCCAGUAGCAUGAUAAGAUUAGAAUGGUUAUGUUACGUGCAGAUGUAUAAAAAUUCUUGCUUUUCCCCCAUUUCUUUCAUGUUCAAUUUCUGCUGGUAAUAUUGUCUGAUUAUAUGCAUUUUUUAGUUUAUUUUUUUUCCUCGGUUGCUAUAAUUUAUAUUUAGAUUAAUCAGCUUUCUUCUGAUGUUUCCUAAAGAUUCUGUUUGAUGAGAUGGAUAGGAAAUUUUGUACCUCUAGUCUGAUAUGAUUUAUCUGUUUUAAAUCCAGGUUUGGGCAACUCUUCAUGGAAGGGGAAACAUCAUGGGUCAGUCACGGCCUCAACAACGUCCACCGAGGAUUCGAGUUUGAUGCAUUUUUUGAGGUCGCUGAUGAAGGCAAUAAGGAAGCAGCUUCUGUUUCUCUGGACCUGAUACUCCCCGAUGAUCUGUUAGAACGAAUAUUGUCCUACCUACCAAUUGCUAGCAUUUUCAGGGCAGGGUCCGUGUGUAGAAGGUGGCACGAGAUUGUAAGUUCAAGAAGGUUUAUAUGGAACUUGUCACACGUCCUGACACAAAAGCCUUGGUAUUUCAUGUUUACAAGCUCUGAUGAACCUGUUGGGUAUGCUUUUGAUCCUAUUCUUCGCAAGUGGUAUGGCAUUGAACUCCCAUACAUUGAGACAUCCAAUUGGUUUAUUGCUUCAUCAUGUGGCUUGGUUUGCUUCAUGGACAACGACAGUAGAAGUCAGUUAUAUGUUUGCAAUCCUAUUAUGAAGGAAUGCAAGAAGCUUUUAGAGCCCUCAGGGCUGAAAUUCUCUGAUUAUAGUGCACUGGCUAUUUCUGUAAACCGGGUUUCUCACAAUUACAGUGUUUCGAUUGUCAAAUCCAAACAAGUGCCGGGAAACUUCUUCCAGUGGGAUCUCUCAGUCCACAUCUAUGAUUCAGAGACAAUGAUGUGGGCUACCCCAUUGACAGAGGUUUUGACUGGUUGGAGAGGUGGUGAUGAGAGUAUAAUUUGCGAUGGGAUUCUGUACUUCUUGAUAUACUCUACUGGGGGUGGUGCUUCUGAAAGUCGUCAUGGCUUAAUCACCUAUAACCUCUGUAGCCGAUCGUCUCAUGGUUUGUUAAUGAGGAGUUUCAUCCCAGCUCCAUGUUCUCUUACGUGUGGACGCCUCAUGAACAUUAAGGAAAAGUUAAUAAUGGUGGGUGGAAUCGGGAAACAAGAUCGAUCUGAUAUUAUUAAAGGGAUUGGAAUUUGGGCUCUUGAGGGAAAGGGUUGGCAUGAAAUUGCGCGUAUGCCACACAAGUUCUUUCAAGGUUUUGGUGAGUUUGAUGAUGUUUUUGCCAGCAGUGGUACGGAUGACCUCAUAUAUAUCCAGAGUUAUGGAGCCCCUGCUCUUCUUGUCUUUGAUGUGAACCAGAAACAAUGGAGAUGGGCACAGAAAUGCCCUGUGACAAAAAGGUUUCCGCUCCAGCUCUUUACUGGUUUUUGUUUUGAACCAAGGCUUGAAAUUGUGCCCUGAUUUUGUUAUCCUGAUAGGAAUUGCCUAGCUUCAAGGGCAAUCUUUUGUUCAUGUGCCAUUUAUAUUGGUUUUCCCUACUUUUUUUGUUUCAAUCUUUGGGCAUUUCUCUAAAUUCUGCAGAUCUCUGUAUGCAGAAAGGUUUAUAGAUGCACGAGCGAGAGAGGCUGUUCACUGAAAUGGAAUUAUCCUUAUUCUUUAUCCUGCUAGUUAGUACAGUCAUAAUACUUCUGUUUUCACUGAGUUAUGCCUCAAUCAUCACUGCCUUUUGCAUUUGGUCACUGGAACAGAACAUGUUUUACAACUUUGAUCCUGUUAGGGAUUAUUGGUUAAAAGACUACUUAAGCAUGAAAAUUGAUCUCUGCAAGUUGCACCACUCUUUGUAUGUAGCGCUCUAUAUUUAUUAGCUUUAGGAUGAGUGGCCUUCUGCUUAAAGAUUUCCUUUCUCUGGCUUAAUAGCUUUAAUAAUACCUCACUGCUUCAGAACUUUUUGUGGUUUCCAAAAAAAUUGUUGGGAGUCAGUCGUUGGAUUGAAGUACACUGGUUUUCGACACAACUAUGUGGUCGUCGUGUACAUCAUGUAUGUGUAUCCCUUUAGGAACUUUAAAUUUGUUACUGAUCCAAGUCGAAGGUCCCAGGUUUAACUACUGGUUGUGUAAUGUAUCUUUAGUCUGAGAUCACUCAACUCCAGAUGAAUGAGUCUGACCGAUUCCGCAAUUGGGCUAGAUGUCUCUUUCAAUUUUCUUCAGGGUAAGGCGUGGGAUGAUAUAUUUCCUGUUCGCUUUCUUGAUUUAGCAACCCUUGCUGUCAUUGAAUACCAAAAUGUGGAUUACGGUUGCUGUUCUCUUUCCCUAGACAGGGAUAUGCUUUUGUAAAUUAGGACCUGGAGUCAAAAGUUAGAGGAUGGGGUUCGAUGCCCGGGGGGGGGGGGGGGGAAGACAUGCUAAUGCUAAUGCUAAUGCUAAUCCCUUUUCUUUGAAAAGCAUGUGUCCCUUUUCUUUGAAGAGUGGCUUGGUUUGGACCGCAGCUAUAAUUAAACUGAGAUUGUUUUAUAUGCCAGCACACAUUCCACAUAGAGAAUUGAAUGGUCUGAGUUGUUGCCGUAGCUUUACGCCAAGAUUGCAUUAGUUCCCAUUGGAUAGUCAGGUUCUUGGGCUGUACGUGUUUAAUGCCUACACUGGCUUUGCUAAUUGCAGUAAUGCAGACUCAGUAGCCUGAGUUCCCCACUCUAAUGUCUUAUUUGCUACACCAGAUGAGCACGGAUUUAAUUACACUACUCUCUUUUUUCUUUUUCUUUUUUUUCAGUUCCGGGAUUACCUUAUUAGACCCAAAUGAUAAUAAUAAUUAUAAUAAGAGUAAUAAAAUAAUAAAAAUGAGACAAGACAGAAAGAGAGGUCAUUGUAGAUAAAAACUAUUAGUUUCACUUUGAAACUGCUUCAUGAAUAGAAAAGAUUCUUUUCACAUGUUGUUUGCCUGCUAAUACAAGUAUCUGAGAAUACAAGUUGGGUAUUCCAUUGCAUUAAAACCAAGAAUUUGGAAGGUAAUCUAUAGGACACUCAUUUUCUCACUUUGCACUUUAAACUUUAAUUUUGGACGCUUUAUAUUCUAAACUUUCUAAUUUGUCCCAUUUAAAUCCAGUCAAUGAUAACUUUAGCAAAGUUAACAACAUUGAUGACCCAAUGACAAUAUGGCUAAUGUGGUCAAAAGAUGUCGAGAUUUCAUAGCAAAAAUAAAACAAUACAUUGCCAUUAUUUUGCAUCAUCUUUUAUCUUGUUAAUUUUGUUAAUAAUAUCAGUAAUUGAAACUAUAUAAAUAAAUAAAUAAUAAUGUGCUAAAAAGUGGUCAAAAAAGCUAAGGAUGUGUAGUUAGAACAAAACGGUACUUUGUUAUUAAUUUUCACCACCCUUUAUUUAGUGGAUAAAGUUGUGGUUCUGUCCCAGUAAACUUCGGCAGCCGUGCUUUGAGAAUAUGAUUCUCUAUUUGUUUCUACCUACUUUUCGCAAAUUAUUGGGAAAUGACUUGUGUAACAAUGAAGUACUUCAUAUAUCUUCCAUUACUUUAAUGAAAAUACCAAAGGCAAAACAACCUCAAUUUUAGAUUGAUGCAGAUUUCGUUAAUGAAACUAUCCUGUGUUUUAUCAAUAAAAGAAAAAAAAAAUGACAUGCCAAAAAUGACAUUGAGUUGCGCAGUUUUACUGGACUUUGCUUUACUGUUUCCCACAAAUUGUAGAUUAAUGCUCCCAACAGGGAGUUCGGCUGGUAAUCACAUGCAGUAAUAUCCCAUAAAUCACCGGUUCGAAUCCCGCUAUGAUAUUGUACUUGCAAGCUCGGAGCUAGAUUAAUGUAGCUAAACUGGGAUACCAUCUUUUGUUGGAAAAAGAAAAACUAAUUGCAGAAUAAUUUUAAGUAUAUAGUUGCAGCAACACUGGGGAAGGAUGAAUUGGAUACCUCGGUGAACGAAAUAUAAGUAAGAAGUUUCGGGUUAAAGUUCUUCUACUUACAUUAAAAAAAAAAAAAAUUUGUAACUACAUUAAGAUAUCAAGAGAAAUGGGCCAUCGUUGGGUCCAAUGUUUACAAUGAAAAAAGGCAAUACCAUUAUGCGCAGCGGUUUGUAUUACGACAAUUUGUUUCCUUUAAGGAGGGCCUAUGGGCCUCGAGCCCUCAGCUACAACAGGUAGGUACUGUUGCAAACCCAAAGAUCUCAACGCUGUUGCAUUUCCAAACAUCCCUAUCCAAAAUUCUCCACCUUAAACGCAAAAAAUUCAAAAGCAAAAGGUUAGCGGAGAUGUUUUUCCCCCCAAGGGACGCUCCGGAUAGGAAAAGGGAAAGGUUUGAGUAUCGUAUUAAAGACCUUACAACUACUCGACUAAUAAUCUUUUUUUUUUAUCAUCCUUGAUUAAUAUUCUUAAGAGCUCAAUUGGAACUGAGACGUGGUCGGAGUUAAGGUUGCAAACAUGUCGAACUCAAUCCAGUCGCUCACGAGUUUGGUUCGUCAAAAUUAACUAAGUUUGAACAGCUCGAGUUGUUUAAAGAGUUCGAAACUUAAGUAUAAUAUGUGAAGCUCGAACUUCACGUAUACAUACACAUAUAAUUUGUUUAUUUAUUAGUAUGAAAUAUCUAUAUUGUCCGUUAUUUAAAAUUAUAUAAAAUACAAAUUUAUAUUUAUUAAAUUCGAUUAAGCUCAGUUGAUCUCGAUUUACACGAGUUCGAGUAAGACAAAAUAAAAUCGAACUCGAGCUUGACUUUUAAGAGUUCGAUAAGUUCGAGGCCAAGUUUUUUAACAUACUACUCGAGCUCAAUUUGACUGGAUUUCACCCCUAGUUAGAGCUUUAUUUUUUAACGUACAAUGUACUGAAAAGUAGUAGGUGUACAUGGAAUGCAAUUUUGUGGACUGUGAUUGUCUUGACAAAUAUGCCCAGGUGACCACCAACACUUUUUUUUUCUUUUUUGAUAGUAAAUAAACUUUUUUUUCAAAAAAUUAUCUUUUUUGUGAAGGGGGGAGGGAUGGGUUGGGUGGUAUGGAGGGAGGGAGUGUAAGCAAUAGGUUUCGGGUCCGAGUCCUUCUGCUUACACUAAAAAAAAAGAAGGCAAAGUUAAAAAGGGGAAAAAAAAAAGAGUGUAAUUUGUUGUGUGGAUUUAGUUAUAAUUCUCUCUCUCCUCUCAUAUCACCCUUAGCCCUUACUUCCUCAAACCAAAUGAAAUACAAGUGUUGCCAGCUAAAUCACCAUUGAUAAGCAACAUGUGAGAAACAAGAAUCAAUUUGUAAGUUGCCUGAUGCAUUCGUGACAUGUCUUGAUACAGAAGUAAGGUGAUUAUCCUCUCUUCUUAAACUACUUUUUACUACCCAUUAAAACACUCACCCCCUUAAAUUGGGUGAAGAAGAUUUGGGUUUCUGGCCAAAUGUAUCUUGAGGAGCAACAAUGAUGCUGACCACACUGCAUCUACUGCAUUAGGCUGUGGACCACAAGCUAUUCUUUUUGAGCUUUUAGUUCGUUACAUGCAAGUUUUGGCUUUAACUUAAAAGCAGUUCACCUUCCAAUGAGUUAAAACUGGCUAAAAAGAACAAGAAGAGUGCAAAAAGGUUUUGAAGAGAGACAGAAAGAUUCAUAAGUUUCAACUUACAUCGAGGAACAGCAGGCACUCAGUAGCCCACCAGUGGGCUGAUUCCAAACCAGUCCAACGGGUCCCCGUUUCCUCCUUUGAUUCCCAGCCCCUCCUUUCUACAAUAAUAAUGAAUACCCCAUCAAGCUAUCAUGAUCAUAAAGAGGACAUAGAUUAGUGAUUCAGUAGCUAAAAUGCAUGCAUUGUGUCGCUGCAAUACUCAAAAUGUUGUACCAAAAAAACUCCUCAUCAAGUGUCAUUUAGGGGCCGGGAUACGUAUGGUCCAUUAUCAUUUAUAUCAUUUGUCACGGGGAGGACAGCAGACGGCUUAAUUUUUUGGCACGGGAGAAGGGAGUUAUCAUUAAUCACAGUACGUGCGCAUGUGUUUUCAUGCAUAUAGAUCAUACGGCUCAAUUACACCUCGAAGCAAGAUUUCCAGAAAAAAAAAAGGAAAACUAUUAGAAUUAAUCUUUUCUACACGGACAGACAGCAUUGGAUGAAUGACAAUCAUACAAAAUUUGAAUUUGAAAUUCAACUUUUACACACAUGUCAUUAAGCCAACGGUGAUAGUAUAUAGACUGUCAGUGUAUAUAAGAUUUACUCAAACUAUUAACCUCUUUUAUUGAUAGACUGUAGUAUAGGUGCUGAUUAUCAUUAGUUAUUUUUGUUUUGUCAAGAAGGUAUCAUGUGUUAAUUAAUUUUUAGUAAUGCGAAGUUACUAGAGCAGCUUUGCAUUUUAAUUAAAAUUGAUUAGAGCGUAAAGAUAUCCAACACUCUUUUAUAAAAGAAAGAAGGAGACUUCAAGGUUUUAGGUGUUCACUUCUUCAGAAUAGAAGCUAAAGGGCCACUCGUUCUUAACCUGGUCACGGAAUCUAUACAUGUAAUUAGUUCUUAAAAGAAGAAUGGUGGCGUGAUUUUCCCUAACCAUUUGAGAGUGUACGAUCGAUGUUGUCACACUCUUCCAUAAACCGCAUGAUUAAAAAAGUUUAAUCUCUUUGAAGAUUUUCAUUCUUCCCCAAAUAUACUGCAGCUUCCGUCAAAAUCCUCCCCGACUCACCUUUCUUAGUUACUGGUACAUGCUAGCCGACUCUUUUGAGGACUAGAGAAAGUACUGAUGUCUGAAACCAGCACGAUGGUAUUGGUGUAUUGGAUCUACAGGUUAGAUAUGUCAAAAACGAUCUACUUCAGGCUAGAAAGCAUAAAUAAUUAAAGUAAUGAGAAUCAAACUCUUACAUUAUUAAAGAGGGAAAAAAAUGAAGAGGAUAUUAAGUAGGAAUGGAAUCUCAACCGGCAUUAUUAUUAUUAUUGAAAUAUAAUUAAUUGUGACAGAGUAUACACGAACAAGUUAUCUAGACGUGUUAGCACAUAUAGUAUAAGCGAAAAUUCUAAGGAUUGGUAUAGUGGUUUCUACCGAUGCAUUGGUAAAGUGGUUUGAUGUGGUACGGAUGUGGUAGGAGCAAGACACGUUAGGAAAAGCAAAAUUGAAGGUUGUUUUUGGUGUGGGCUAUGGCUGCCGGAACUUAAAAUGAGUGUUGUAAUGGUGGGUUCCACAUUGAAAUGACCCAAGACAAUUUGUCAGUCACAUCCCUUGGGUUCACCUCCACUGUGGGUUCACCCACGUUAACCCAUGUGAAAAGACCCAAGACAUUAUUAUUGUUUUUUAAUUUCUGAACAAUAUACAUAAUGAAGAAAAUGCAAAGUUAGAUACAUAACUAAAAAGAAAUUUAAAAAAAUAAAUAAUAUAUGUAUGUGCAAAAUUAGAUAAACUUUGAUUCAUUUAAUUACAUAAAUUGACAAAAGAGUAGAUAAUUUAAAUAUUUUAGAAGAAAUUUUGGAAUAAUAUGUACAAUUAAUUAAACCAAUCAUAGGAAUUAAUAAUUGUAAAGGAGUAAACGAAUGGUUAAUUAAUUAGUUGAGAUAGAAUAUUUGUAGGAGAAGUAAUAUGUUGUUUUAUUAUAUGAGAAGUAAUUAAUAUGAUUCUUUUAUUAUAUUUGAGGGUAGAACAUAAAUAAAUGUUUAAAAAAUGCAUUUGUAAUGAUAUUAGUCCAAAUUAAUGAGAAUAAAGUGAUGACAUAAUAACCGGAGUGCAAAUAGGUGAAAUUUAAUUAGACCACACUUGUCACUUUUAAAUUUUCAACAUUAUCAUCAUAAUCACUUAAUUAUACUUUUAUAAUUUGAUUAACAUAUUGUCUAUGUAUUGUCAUUCAAUAGCACAACUAACUUUCAUCGAUAAACAACCAUAAACAUUAUAAUUACCUAAUUCAUAAAAUAAUAUUAAAAAAGCUUUUAAAAGAUCAAAGUUUAUUUGUUUAUUAAGAUUUUAUACCAAUUUCUUCCAUAAAUAAAGUGAUUGUUUUAAAUUACACAUAGAUUGAGUGUGCCCUUUAUCACUAGUAAUACUAAUGGUAUUUGCACUAAUGUAUACAUGCUUGAAAUCAAAUAUCCGUAUUGAUUAGACUAUGUAGUGAUACAGUUAAGAAUAUUUUUAAUAGGUGUAAAUACAAAAAUAUAAUUCCUCAUUAUCUAUUCUAAAAGUAUGACAACAAACAAUCUUCACAUUAAAAGUAUUCCAUAUACUUUCAUGGAUAAUAUAAUACAAGAUGACAUGCCCGAAUUUACUAAUGAAUGAAUAAUUUUCUUUCAAACAACAUAAAAAAACUUUUUACAGUUGGUACUCCCGAACUUGAACAUAUCUUUAGGCAAAAGGAGAUAAAAAUUUAUGAUUAAGUGACAAAAUCAACUCCACUUUAUUAGAAAAUGAUAUCACAAUAAUAUUAAAACUAAAUCAUUACUAACCAACCAUUAUGAAGAAAAUAAGUUUAAAAGUUGUAAUUUAAAUCAAGAAUAAAUCUUAUAUAUACUAACAGUGUAUAUACUAUUACCGUUUGAUUCAUGACAUGUGUGUAAAUAUUGAAUUUCAAAUUCAAAUUCUGCAUAGUUGUCGUUCAUCCAACGUUGAUAAUGUAUACACUGUCAUUGUAGGAAAGAUUAUUUCUUAAAUCAAUACAUGACAUAUAUCCAAAAUUUUGGAAGAAAUACAAUUUUUGUUUAUAAUACUUUGCAUGUGUGUAGGACUGAUCAUUAAUGUUUGAAUAAAAACAAAUUUGGUUCCCAACGUUUCAAAUCUUAAGCAUAUUUAGGAUAAUUGACGAAAAAAUGAUGAUUAAGGAUCAAAGUCAAUUUGCCACUACUCAAUAGUUUUGACUUUGCAUUUUUUAUAGCAAUGUUUCGAAUUUGGAUCAUCAUGGUAUUUUAGAUUUUAAAUAGUGAUAUUAAUGGUUUCAAAGGAAAAGAAAUGCAAAUUAGAUUAAAAUUAUGUUGAAAAUGUGCGAAAGUUCAAGAAACUUCUUUCUUUUAUUUUUUUUUUAUUUUGUGUAUUCAUCCCAUUUGUUCUCAUAGACUUUUACUCUUGCAUAACUGGUCUCAAAUGUAGCAUAAUAUAUGUAUGUAUGGUUUUGCAUUAUGGAGAAUCAAUUGAUAAUGAAUUCUAUUAUUUUUUUGUUACUUGUAUUGAUAUUUAAAUGCUCAAUUAGAUAUCCAUUCAAACUAUAAAGAAUAUGAACUAUAAGUAAAUCAGAUUCGUUUUCUUUUUUCAAUUUUAAUAGAUUAUUAGUUGAAUUUAAGAUGAAAUUAAUAUUUUGUAUAAUUGUUUGAAUCAUUCAAUAAAAUUAUUAAGGUAACGGGGGGAAGGUGUAGGGUAAAAUAUUAAGGUAAACAAAAUAGCCAAGUAACUAUUUUAAAACUUUCCAUUGAAACUUUGGAUUUAAUAGAUAGAAAAAUAAAUUAAUUGGAUUUAAUAGAUUGAAAAGUAAAUAAAUUGUGUCCCCACUAAGAGAACAAUUUAGUACGAGUUCAAAGUAUUUUAAAUGUCUGUUGGUUAUAUGUAGUUGACCUACUAUAGUCUUUUUUUUAUGAAAUAUAUUUUGAUUGUUUUACUUCUUUGGUUCUAUAGAUAAAUAAUUCAAAUAAGAUGACACAAUGUUGUUAACCACUAUGUACUUUAUAUAGAAUAAUAUAGGCACAACAUAUCAUCUAAGCUAGAAAGUAUAUCUUCAUUAAAUAAGUUAAAAUUGGAUAAUAAUACACAUUUGAUAUAGGAGGUUGUAGUAUAGGAAAAAUUGAAAUAGGAUUUUAUUGCUAAAUCGAUUUUGAGUAAAUGUUAAGUUCCAUCAAUUGUUUUAAAUGUGCUUAAAAUUAUAAAUUUUAGAGACCAAAUUUAUUUUUAAUGAAAUAUUAUCAUUUUAAUAUAUAACUAAACAUUCACAUUCAUAACCUGCCUAUCUUGUGCGCCAUUCUCAGCACACUUCUUUAUCAGGUUACCGGUAAUCUUUUAUUUCUGUUCUUUUAUUUUGUGCUUCAUUUUCAAGUUGAAGUCACCCUUGUCAGUUGUUGUCCUUUGGCUCCUAGUGACUUGAUGUGCGGCAGAUACCAUGUACAAUUGUGUGUCAGUCUAAUACCAAUGAAAUGGUAGAAACCGCUGUACCAUUUUGAAGAAGCUUCGAUAGUAUAAGAAAGAUUAGUACAUACAGUUUUUUUAAAAAAAGCAUUAAAGCCUCGUAUGAAUUGCCAUUUUUCUUAAAAAAAAAAUUUUUCGCUUUUCGUAAACAUAUUUUUUAAUUAUCUUUUUACAUCACAUACACUAAAUUUUUAUAAUAUAUUUUUCUAAAAAAACUUGAAAAAAUGGCAAUUCAAAAGGGCUCUAAAUUAUUAACAUUAAACAUGCAUAACACUUGCUAAAUAUGUCUAAUGUUGGCAUUCGAUAUUUUAUUGAUAAAAUCCGAUGUACCCUCUCAUCCGUGAAUUGCAUUCAUUAUAAAAUUGUGUGGAACCACAGCCCCCUGGUCCAGUAAACUAGUAUACCUGAACUGAUGCGCAUGAAUGACAGCUGCCACCAAUGCAACUACCAACACACUCUGCUAAAAGAGAUAUGGAGAGAGAGAAUGGAGAGUAGUAGUAGUAUACUGGUACUAAGCUUGUACACCAUGAAAAGUAACGAGGUUAAUGAUGAGUGAGUGGUACACUAGUACUACUCUCUAUUACUCCGAAAAAGAAGAGGAGAAAGGGUGGUGUUUGCUGAAAAGAAAGGCAAGAAACAGCAUAUGGGUUCCAGACAGAGCAUUGAAUGAGUUUGAAAUUUCAGCUUGAAUCGAGGGUAAGAAAGACAGAGAUGUGUGAGUCAGACAAAGCACCGAAAUUUUGAAAAUUCGACAGAAAGAGAGAGACACAGGGGCAUGGAGAAAGAGGAAAAAGGUAGAGAGAGGGAUGUGAAAAAGGAAGAAUUUUUAGGAUUAAAGUUGAAACGCGGGAUGUUGGUGGGGAAAAGAGGGGGUAAUACUACUCCUUCGCCUACAUGGAGAUAUGGUGGUUUGACUCAAUCUCAGGCUGCUGAGGGUUCUAGACUUCAAGAUUUCAGCUUUCCCUCCAAUUUCCCUGCCAAAAUUUCUGCCAGACAGCUUGGUGCCAACUUGUGGGAAGUCCAGCCUCAUAUGGAAGUGGUCGAGAUGAGUAAAGCUGCUGCUAGGCCUCUUCUACGUCACAAAAACAAGGUUAAGGACAAGGGCUUUGAGCUUCCCAAGACCCACUUUGAUCAGCCUCCUCAUAGCCCCCAACAUCAGGUAAAACUGCUCCCACUCCCCCCCUCCCCCCAACCAAAACCAACCCCCGUCCUUUUCUUCCAUCUUUUCCUGUUUAUUUCAGUUAUGAUGCCCUUGGAUUUUCUUAGAUUUUUUGGGUCCAUGCUAUUUUUGCUAGGGCUUUUUUAGUUUUACCACAUUAUUCUUUUUCUUAAAGCCUACUACCAUACUAGUUAGGAUUUGCUUUGAGAAAAAAUUGAUCUUUUACUCAUAUGCGGUACUUUACUGGAAACUUUGGUGUUCACGGAAGAAUAUCAUUUAAGGUAGUGUUUAAUUAGGCCACUUAACCAGUGAUCUCUCUUUCAAGUGUCUCUUAAAAGAUCCAAAUGUUUCGACAAGAGCAAGGUUCAUGGUCAGGUUAAGUAGAGGAAAUGGCGUUAGAAAAUUUUGCUUUAUGAGGAACUAGGUUUUACUUUUAAAUGCAUCUAUAUUUGCACAUUAUUGUUUAGGAUUCACCAUUCUAUGAUUAUGCUGAUCUUGAGAAAUAUUGAAGAGUUUAAUGCUUAAGUUCUGGUCCUCGCAUCUGCAUUCCGGCAGCCACCAACUGAAAGUGAGCUAAAGAAACGUUUUACAAAGGCAUUGAUGCAACACGAUCACUCAGCUGAAAGAAAUGGGCGUGCUUUACCACCAGAGACUCCUGGAAGUAGUAGCUCUAUGGAGGUAUUUUUUUUAUUUUCAUUUUACUUCUGGCCCGUUUUUACAUAUUUUUUUAUCUUGCAAUUGCUCUGAAGGCAAAACCUCUGGAAAAAGACAUAUAAUUAAGUGGAAUCGUUCACUUAAUAUGAUCAGGGAAAGGAAGGGUUUUAUACAUCCAACUAAGAUCUGUAGUGGAUAGAAGUAGAGCGACAACAUAGGCCAAGUUUGCUCCUGCAUGUCGCCUAACCCCUCAAGAUGACUAUAAGAAAGGAUUACAACCCUCUCAAAUAGGAUCCUGUCAUUGGAAUCAACCAACUGAUGUAAUCCACAUUUACAACUGAGAAUCAAAUAUGUUGACAGUAUUACUGAGACCCUUGUACAGUAUUUAAAGUCUCAGUUCAUUUGACUUGUGUUUCUUGUUGUUGCAACUUUUUCUUGAAUCAAGCUAUGACUCUCUCGCGCGUGCACACACACACACACACAUAUUUGCUGCUGAUCUUGUGAUAAUUACUGCAAAUUCAACCACUUGGUUAUUUUCCUGGACCACCUCUCAUGCAGUGUCUCAGGAAGUGUAUAGUCUGAGGAUAUGAAGCAAAAUUUAGUAGCUGUCUAGAGCAUAUUCAAGAGAAAAAGAUUGUGUUAAAUAUGUACGUGAUGUCUUUUUUAGAUGGUUUUCAGCACAAACAAAUUCUUCCCGUUUCUCUCGGGAACUUGCUUUUUUCUUCCUUUACUUUUUCCCUUUCUUUUCUUUUUAAAUUUUUGUCAGACCAUUACUACCAAUUGCUGAACUUUAUGUUUAUAUUCAUUGAGUAUGAUCUUCUUCACCUGAUUACGGUAACACCAAGCUGGUCAAUGUUUCUUGUUUACUUCCGCCAGAUGACUCCUUAUAGACCGGAUAUCACCCCAACUGGUGCUCUGCACCUUAAAGGUAGACUCAGAGAAUCAAGCUACAACCUCAAGACAUCCACAGAGUUACUUAAAGUACUCAAUAGGAUUUGGAGCCUUGAAGAACAACACACUUCAAAUAUUUCAUUGCUAAGAGCAAUGAAGAAGGAACUUGAUCAUGCACAUGCAAAAAUUAAAGAAUUGUUACAGGAGAAGAAAAGACACCGUAGGGAAAUGGAUGAUAUGAUGAGACAGUUGACUGAAGAUAAAUUGAUAAGGAAACAUAAGGAGGAAGAUGAUGUUGAAGAUACUUUCCAGUCUAUGAGAAAAGAAAUUGAAGAUGAAAGAAAAUUGAGAAAGCAUUCAGAAAGCCUUCAUCGUAAGUCAGCUCGAGAGUUAGCAGAUGUCAAGUCUUCCUUCUCAAAUGCUGUGAAAGAACUUGAAAGAGAAAGGAAAGCACGGAUACUGCUGGAAGACUUGUGUGAUGAGUUUGCCAAGGGAAUAAGAGAUUACGAACAAGAGAUCCGACUCAUAAAGAAAAGAUCUGAAAAGGAUUGGACGUUACAGGAGCAUGCUGAUCGAUUGAUUCUUCACAUUUCUGAGGCUUGGCUUGAUGAACGAAUGCAGAUGAAGCUGGUGGAAACUCGCUCUGGUCUUCCAGAUAAGAGAACAAUUGUGGAUAAGCUAAGCAUAGAAAUUGAAACCUUCCUUCAAACUAAAAAAUCUGUUUCUUCUACAAAUGAUGAUACGUUGUCAUCAAAGAUGCCUGCUGGAAGUCACUUACGUAGGUAUUCUUUAGAGUCCUUUCACUUGAAUGAGCCUGGAAGUGCUCCUCUGAAUGCGGAUGAAGAAGAUUAUGUUGAUAGUGGUUUAUAUUGUUCUCAAUUGAAAAGAGGUUCAAGUAAGAAAGAGAGCAAUAGCUCCUCCAAGAAACAAAGUGAAAAUGCUCCAGCUGGUCAUCUUGCAAAGAUUGUCAAAUCAAAUCAUAUCAAGAAAAAGCUUCUGUCACAGGAACAUAUGGAUGAUUCUGAUCAUUUACACCCAGAACUACAGUCUAAAGAACAAAGUUUAAGUGAUUUGUCAGGCAACGAGAAUGGGACCCAACCUGUGAACAAGGAACCAGCACCAACAAGGAUGGGGAACCCUGUUGAAAUGAAUGCGGCAAGCGAACCUUGCUUGUCCUGCAAUGCUAAACAACACCAGGAGAAUAAUCAUGCAGAAAAUUCUUUUGAUCCAUCGUUAUUUACUGGUCCUGCCAGCCCAGUGGAAAAGUGGACGUCCAAAGCACAAGCUGCAGAUCUUGAAGCCCCUGAAUCUUCUUCACAGCAUCAAGGUAUUAAAGAAAAUACUUUGAAGGCAAAGCUUCUUGAAGCAAGGCUCGAAAGUCGCCAGUCCCGCUCCAGAGCUUCCAAAGUGCUUUAGUUCAUGAAAAUUUGAAAGGUACAAAUUGAACUUUGACCCUAAAACGUCUCAUCAUCAAUAUUGAGUUCAUCCUUCUUUUAGAUGCAGAUAUUAGACACAGCUCGUACAUUGGUUACUUUGUAACUUUGGGUUUGCGGUGAUGUAAAUGGGAAAUGUAUGUCUUUUAGCAGAUAUGUGAGAAACCUUGUCCGCUAAUUAUAAAGUGAUAUGUGGAUCUUAGACAGACCACUUUGGAUAUGGUUCUUUCUGAUAUGUAUGUGCAACUUGUAUCCUUAGAAACGAGCAUAAAAUUUUUACUUCAAGGAACCUUCUAACUUCUAUUGGUUAUUGCUCUUGUGAAGGUUCCUCUUCCUAUAUUUAGGAGAGCAGUAAGGAAUAAUUGUGGAUUUUAUAAUUCCAUUGAAGUUAAUAAAUAUUUACCUUAUAGCCAGCUAUUUCAGUGCUUCUGUAACCAUUUUAUCUAGUAGUUGACUAGAAACUUCUUUUAAUUGGUGAUCCAACUAUAACUGUCCACAAACUCACUUCUGCAUUUUGAGUUCUUGGAUUUAAUUUGUGCUUUUUGACUUUGUUCUUAUAAUCUGUAUAAAACUUGUUGGCAUCAAGAGAAAAGGGGGUGUCUGUUUGGAGGGCAUCGUCCUGUUACAUGUUGCAAGGGGUUUGUGUUGAGGCAUAUUGACCUCGAGUCUCAUGAAGCAUCGGAGUUGUUCACCAUGUUUCGGUAUCUACCCAAACAUCCCUGAAGCUAUCAUACAUUCUUCUUCGUGUUUUGCUUGCUCUUUUGCUUAAAACGUCCCUUCUAGAUACUGAAACUAUUGAUACAUUUUGUCUUCAUGUUUUGCUUGUUCUUCUGCUUAAAGUGUCCCUUAAUUCACAUCUAGAGAUCAAAUUUCCUGCUUUUAAAGGAUGGAUUUACUCGUUAAUUUGUAGUCUUAUUUUAUAAUACUGGAGCAGCAUUUAGUUCUCUUCUCGUGAUACUUCUGCUAGAUGAUAUAGCACAAUUUCUUGGGGAUAGCCAGCCUAUAUGAGCCUUAGAGACUAAACAUGGUUAUGGUUAAGAUAAAUGAUAGCACUAAUUCAGAUAUUGAAUGCUUUGUAUCUGCCUUUAAAAGUUUCUCCAGUACCAGGUGAUGAGCAAAAUCUUUUGUGUAGCCUUAACUUAGUGGUCAUCUCGAAAGAACAAUUUGCAUGUUUGUCAACAAUUGCAAAUUGUUCAUUUUCACUGCUAUUCUUGGGUGCUGGAUUUUCAUCUUCCUCAUUGUUGAUGGCUGAUUUUACUUAUAAUUCCCCCUGCAUGAUCAUAAAACAAUAGAAGAAGACAUCUUGUCAUGAGUCUUAUUUACUUUUCCCCCCUUCAAUCGGUGGGUGGAUUCCAUUCAUAGUUGCCAAAUACACCAGCUAAUUAGGUGGCUUGCAAUGGUUGACCGAUUAAGCACAAUCAGGCCAAAAAAAAAAAAAAAAAAUCUCUAAUAUAGGUGGAUAGGAGUAGUAGUUGUUUUCGAAUCCCUCGUGAAAAUUGAGCCGAAAUUUGUUGGAGAAAAGUUUUAGCUGAUCAAACAUACCCGUAUGAUAUGCAAUUUCCUAUCCUUGCGAAAUUUGUUGCAUUAUCGAAAGUGGUUUGGUCGGUUUCUUGCACGAAAGAAAGAGCAAGAGUUUUGUUCAAAAGAAGAGAAAAGGUUUCCCACGUUUUAUUGCAACGGCAAAGUACCUUUGGAUUCAGCUCGUGGAACGGAACCUUAGGACUAUUUAAAUUAGAGCAUCGGAUCUGAGGGUAAAAACAGGUCAUGCUCAAAUUGAAGUUUCGCAGAAAUUGUACAAUGCAGGAGAACCUUCUUAUAGUCACAUAGGAACUAGGGUAUUAAUUGAUGGAAGAAUCAAACAUAAUCUCGGCUGACUUUAGGCUUGAGCCCCGAUCAUCAACCCACCCAAUCUCCCAACUCCCAAGCGACAUUUGUACACUGUUACAGGUCUUUAUUUUUUGUUAAAUAAAUAAUAAUGUACUAAAUGGUGCUUUAAAAAAAAAAGUGCAUCGAAAACACUACUGAUAUCAGCACUCAUCAAUUCGUGAUAGAGCUUUUAAUAAAUAAAUCGGAUUAUUAGGUCCUGGUUCGAACCUUGCUGUCAGCAAUUUGUGGAGGAUGGGGAAUAGUCUGCGGGAUCCACUUUCUGCGGGACACUCCUAACAAAAAUAAUAAAUAAACAAAUUGAACUAUUCGCGAACAUGUUCGCGUUCAGCUCAUUCGAGUUUGAAAAAGGUUUUAUUGUUAAAUAAACGAGUCAAGUUCCCACACGAUGUUAGAAUAGUUUAGUAGUCGAAUAGAACAUGAAUUUGUUUGCAAAGUAUUUGAAUAGUCUGUGAGCGCAUAUAUAAUUAUAAAAAUAAAUGAAUAUAAAUAUAAAUACAUUUAGUAUUAUUAAAUAUACAUAUAUUAUAUUUUACUAAAAAAUAAGUAAUUAUACAUAAAUUAGUAUUAUCUAGUUUUUGAAAACUAAGAAAUACAAUUAAACUUAGGGCUCGUUUGGGGUUGCAAUAGUUUAUUAAAAAGUACUUUCCUAGUAGAGUUUUUAAUAAAAAUAUUUAUCAAUUUUUUAAGUACUUUUAAAUUUAUUAUUUGGAGGCACAAUUUAAUAAGUACUUAUUUUAUUAGAUAAUGUAUAGUUUGAAAUUUUUUAAAAGUAUUUAUCUCUUUAUUUGUUUCAUAAUAUAGGAUAAAAUGAUUAAAUUUGAUAUUUUAUUUUUUUUAAAUCACAAAAGUUACUCUAAAAGCAUCAAAUUUCAACUUUUUACAAAAAAAAAAAUGCUUUUAAUACUAAAGCCUUUACUCCUAAUUUCAUGAGAUGAUAUUCACCAAACACUUUAAAAUUACUUUUAGCACCUAAAAUUACUUUUUUAUUAAAAGCACCACACACCCCAAACCGGGCCUUAUUCUGAAUAAUGUGUUAUUUAUUAAGAUAUAAUUAAAUCAUCUCCAAACUCAAAUUCGAAUUCGAAUUCAAAUAUUUAUAUAAAUAAAUGAAUCCAAUUCGAACAAUAUUUAUAGUUAAUUAAUAUUUGAGCCAAAUUCGAAUCUUAUUUAUAUAAUAUAUGACCAAUACCUGAACACCAAAUAUUCGAUUUGAUUCAAUUCGACUCGUUAAAAGUUGGAAUCCGUGCCCCAUACUCCACUCUCAAGUGUUACAAGGCUCCUCGUUCUCUUCACAACUCACAUUGCCCUCUUGCUUUCUAUUUUUUUUAUAGAAGUUAAAUUAAGGUAACCACGUUCUGGUCAACGAUUUAAAGUCUGUCACGAGAUUGCAAAAUUGGCUGCGAAUAAAUAGACAAAAAUAUAUGUGUAGCAAAAUAGACCAAUAAAUGAUUAGUUUAGAAUCCUCAACGCGAACUACCAGCAUAUGCUUCCAACGUUGAGGCGGCCACCUAAACAUGCCUGCCACUCUUUGAUUGAUUCCAAAGUUGUUCGUGGAGAAUGUGGUCCUCUUUCAUAGUCAUUUCCGCUGCCACUUUUGUUUUUCAUAAUUGGAAUUUUGGAACUAUCUUGUUUGGAAGUCACACAAGAAUUGCACGUUACCUCAUACCCAGCACACACCACACGCACACAACCCCCCCCCCCCCCCCCAAAAAAAACACAAAAAAAAAAAAAAAAAUUUUCCAAUCCUGGCUGUCUUUCGAAAAACAAUGGGUGAAGAUUGAACUGAAUUUUGGCUGCUGGGACGAAAUCACACCUUGACUUUUACCUAGAAUGGGUGAAGGUUUGUCGGUUCAAUUCUUCGUUGGUCAUUUAAUAAUUUUGUCACUUUGAAACUAAGCCAUUUUCAUUUCAUCACCCAUUUUUCAGUUCUUGUUUCCACUAUUAAACACGUAAGUUGGAGUUUGACGUCGUGUUAAUCCCUUUUCUUUUCCCUUAUGUCGAGUUUUCAGAACCGUUUAAAUAUUUUGUCUUGUUCUCAACUUGCUUCUGGUUGCAUAGAAGUAGAUUUUAGAAAAUCAAAAUUCAAAAAUUCAAAAUAAAUAUUUUUUUUAUUUUCACCUUUUUUUGACUCAAAAAAUUCAAAAUUAAUGUACUAAAAGAACACAAUAAAAUAGUUUUCUUUUUUCUUUUUUAAAUUAAAUCUUGAUAAUCAAUUGAGAAGAAAGGCCAAAGAUCCAACUUAGCAAUUUCUCCAUUGAAUUAGGGCCAGUUUCAGGUUGUGGUAAUUAUUGAAAAGUACUUCACCUAAUGAAUUUUUAAUAAAAGCACUUGUUUAAGUAUUUUUAAAUAUAUUUUUUCGAUACAGAGUUUAAUAAGUCUCGAUUUAAUAACUCAAUUCAACACUUAAAUUUAAUGCGUGCACAUUUUAACAUCUUUGGACGCAUGUAAUAACAAAAAAUGGAAUAUCUGAAUUGUUUAAAUAGCAUUGAAUUUUUUAGGCACAACUUACUCCAAAAAAUAAGUGAUAAACUAUUUACUCAUCGUUUAGUGAUAAACACUCACUGAAUCUUUUAGGCAGAAGUUACUCCAAAAAAAUAAGUUAUACUAUGCUAUUUAUUUAUUGUUUAAUAUGAUGUACACUCAAAUGUAAAUUUAGACUUCAAAUUUCAGUUUUCAAACUUCGUGUUUAUCAAAUGCAUCCUAAGUACUUAUUAUAUUGGAUAAUAUGUAAUUUGAAAAUUUUUAAAUUUAUAAAUCUCUUCAUUUUGUUCAUAGUAUAAGAUAAAAUGAAUAAAUUUAAUGUUUUAUUUUUUAAAACACAAAAACUAUUUUAAACGCACCAAAUUUUAGCUUUUGCUAAAAUAUUUUAGCACACAAAAUUAUAUUUUUUUAUUAAAAGUACUGUAACCCCAAAAGGAAUUUAAUCUUGUAUACAUUGAUAGAGUACAUACCAGCAAACGCUGUUGCGUGUACAAGAAUUUCAAUUUAAAUUUAAAUUUAAAUUAGGUGGCAUUUAUCUAUACCUGCUUAUGUAUAAAAUGAAUCUCAAUCCAUAUUUUCUUGUGAAUAACAUAAAAUUUAAUUCAAAUUCAAAUUGGGAUGAGAUGCAUACAUAAAAUGCAACAAUAUUACUAACAAAAGGCCAUAGAGACUUAAUAUAGAAGUCAAUAACCGAACUUUGAUCCAAAAAUUUAAACUAGUAAAUUUUGCACUCUAAUAACCUCUUUCUAUAUCUCUAAACUAAUGUGAAACUACUAAUUCUACUCAUAAGCUAACAAAAAUGUAAAACUCCAGCUGCAAAAUUUUUAAAAUUCAAGGGAAGUAAAGCAAUUUCAAAUUGGGUAUGCUCCUCAAUAUCAAUUAACAAAACACUUCUAUAGUAGUAUUCUGUGUUUGCAAAUUGUAUUCCCUAUUCCUUAUUUUCUUUGUAAAGUUGUAAUCUCAAUUACUUAUUUAAAUCAGAGUCCAAUAAAUGGAAUACCGAACACGCAGUCUUACAUUUGACUCAUUCCCUCUCCAUAUCUCCACAAUUCAGUUCCUGUUCCUCCUUCUCCCCAGUUUCCUAGUGUAUUACCACCUGAUAUUUAUAGUUCAAAAAAUCUCUUCCAAACCUAGGGUUUUGGGGGUGGGGGGAAGAGAGAGACAAGUUAGCUAAGAAAUUUAUUAUUUUGUAAGAAAACAUAAGGUCAGUAAUUGUUCUCAUUUGAUUAUCAUGAGGGAUGCGAAUUUGGAUUUAUUUGACCCAAGGACGGCUGUGAUGGACAGCUCCGUUUACUCUCCCACCAGCAGCAGCCGCGACCCGGAUUUUGGGUUCGCUUUCAACGACAGCAAUUUUUCCGACCGGAUUCUCCGGAUCGAGGUCUUGGCCGACGAUUCACCCGAUUCUUUUUCCGCCGCCGCCGCCUGCCAGAGUCUUGCCGAUUGGGCUCGCUAUCGUAAGCGCCCUAGAGAAGACAUCAAAAGGCAAAAUGGUAUUCUCUCUUGUUGUCUUUGCCCUAGAUAUAUUGUGUUUACAUCUAGUAUUUUCUGAUUAAUUAGGGUCUUGUUGCUGGCGAUGAUGGUUAAGUUAACACUAUGCUUUUCUUAUUGAAACUUGCUCAUGAUACCGUGGACUUCCGAGUAGGGGAUUUUGGCUCUGAGAAACUUAGCCAAAGUACCACAGAAAUGCAAGUUUGGGAUGAUGGUUUCGGUCGUUGUGGCUUUUUUUUUCAAAUAUAUAAAUAAAAGAAGGGGAUGGGUGGAACAAGAAGCUGGAAGAGGAUUGCGAAAGCUACAAUUGAAUCCUUGUUUAAGCCGAGGAAGCAGACCUUUCACCGUUCGUUAUGCUCUGUUCUGUUCUCGAUUUUUGGAGUGAAAAUGUGACUGUGCAAGGUUGUAUUGAGGGAUCACUCAUCACGUAAACUGAUUAUUAAAUGACUUGAAAGAAGGGUUACCGUUCUUUUUGAACUUUUUUAUUUUUUGACCUUUUAAUCUGUUGGUGUCAAAGAAUAAAUAACUAUUUCGUGAAAUUUUGAUGUUGCUCAUGUUUACUGGUGGUUACGACACCAGAUAUUUACAUGGUUGGACGUUACCUUUGACUUGUGAGGCUGCUGUAACUAGAGACUAGCAAGAGUGCAGGACUACCGUGUUUUGGAUAUAUGUAGAGGUGGCAAAAUGGAUAACUGGUUAGUUAAUGGUUUUACUUAAAUGGAUUGUGGAUGAAAUCAAUCCAAUCCAAUUACAACCCGUUGAAAAAUGGAUCUAAGCGAUCUAGUUAACCAUUUUAUUCUCUUACAACUAAAUUUAUUCAUCCUCCUUCAGCCAUACCAAUUUAGAUGCCUUUAGUUUUUUUAACUCAGUCAAGUGAUCCAUACCAUUUCUGCCUGCAGCUUCUGUUUUAGUCUCAAGUUUGCGUCCAAUGACUCAAAAGCCGGCCAAAGUGUGGUCCUCUUCUAGCUUGUUCACCAACAAGCUCUAGCUUCUGUGUUGCCUAUUUAGCUCUUUACUUCUUCUUUCACCGAGUCAAACUCAACCCAACUCACCUCUCUUGCCACUCGCCGGUCGUCACCAUUAAGCCCCUUUCUUCUUUCUGUUUUGCACGUCUGGCUAUGAUUUAAUUUCUGAUUCACCCCUCUGAGAGAUCUUCUUCCCCUUAUAUUGCGGCAUAUGAAAAUGACCAUGUCCAAACACUUUUUCAGGCGGAUUACAAACCCGACUAAAUCAAGUUAACUUUGCAUUCCCCCAACUGAUUGCACUCGUUUUGCAACUUACAAGCUUCAUGUAGCCUCAGCUUCACAAUUAUCAUCAUCAUCAAAGCUAAUACCUCAUCCAAGCUGAUUCAAAAACUUGCCUUCAUUAAUUCCUGAAUUGGAGUUGAAAACUAAAACAAAUGUAAAAUUCAGAUAUAAAAGCUUAGCAAAGUCAUGUACAUGGUUGUAGUGGCCAAAAGAGCAGCAGCUUAGACAUUCCCACAGGAGCAAUUGGAAUUUCAAAGGCCCGGGUUUCCAAACGGGUUGAAUGGCUAAAAUUUGAGCAGUUGCGGUUAUUACAUGUUUGACUGUGUGAAUGAGUGUGUAGUGUGUGGGUUAGUAUUUGAGUGUGUGAAUGUGUGUGCUAGCAUGGCUGAGUAGCAGGACUUUUAUGCUACUGGGUUUGUUUUUUCGAUUAUUGGUUUUACAUGGAUGACAUGUAUAAUCCAUUUAAAUCCCCUAACUUAGGUGGGUUUAAAUGGUUAUCCGUUUAAAAUCAUUUAGGGUUUCUUACUCAUCCAAAUCCAUUUAAGCUAUGUUUAAUUGGAUGGAUAACUGGAUAUGGAUCCAAAUUGCCCCUUCUAGAUAUAUGUAUUCUCCAAACUCUGUCGAGAAUGCAUUUGAAGUAUAGAAACUUGAUAGUAUGAAGAUAUUGAGAAUAAUGUAUUUCUUUUGAAUAAGAGUUGUACACUACAUCCUUUGGUCAUAUUAAACUGAUGUCUGGCACUGUUUGAUGCUAUAAAAGGAAGAACUUUUUCUUUUUCCCCUUUUCCAGGUUGGAUGAUUUGAUAAAAUAUAUUGAAUGCAUGUCUAACACUAUUUAAUGUGUUAAUUCAAAGAAUGUCAUUGUUGCUUUCAGUGGCUGAAUGAUUUGAUGACAGAUGUUGAACAUGUAAGACUGUAUGAGGCAAUAAUGUAAAUACAGUUUGCUUAUUUCUCUUAAUGGCUGGAUUCUUUGCUAACACGUGUUGAAUGCUUAUCCUUCUGAAUGUGGUAUUGAUAUUAACAUUAGAUUGCUUGGUGAGUGCAUCAGAGCUAGAAGUUUUGGAUGUUUAACUUAUAUUAUCUUUUCUUUGACUUGUUUGUCUCCAGUUGGAAUCUUUAGACAAAUAGACUCAUUAAUUCAUCAGAUAUUGGGUUUUGAAUGUGCUUUUGUUUCGUUUUAAUUCUGCAUAAGAUUGCUUAGACUUACACAGUUUCUUAUGCUGGUAUGGGUUUUGCUGAUUUAAUCAGACAUGUGCCACUCAUUUGCAGCUUUGGAUAUCACCGUGUGUCCUGAGGAGCAGGUUCUUAACUGUGAUCAGCCUGAUACUGACGAUGUAAUACGAGGCGAAAAUCAGGAUGAAGAAGAAUUUGCAAUGAUUGAAGAAUCACCCUCAGGUCUUACAUGCACUGAAAUUCCACAUUUUCUUUUCCUUAAUAUCUUAGGACUGUUAUUCUUUCCAUUUAGUAAAUGACAUUUUGAUUUUUUUUAAAUUAUGUUUUUCACCUUCUUUAUCCACUUAUGGAGACAGAAAUCUUGCAUUUAGUUGUUAAAUUUCAAAUAUAGAAGUUAGAACACAUAAUAGUAAGUUAAGUAAUUGCUGCCUUGUCCUGUCUAUAGUUCCUGUGGCAGACCGUGGAGAGUUUGGUCUUAAGUGCUGUUUUUCAGAGGUUUACUUGCAUACACGUGUAUGCUUAUAUAUGUAUACACACACACAAAUCCUAUUGUUUUAAGUGAAAGGCAUACCACAAGUAAGGGUUACCCCCAGGAAAUAUCCAUCAGUCUUCCUGCUUAGAAAUUUCACUGUAAGUCUGAUAAUUGGCUGGGAUCCGUUGUAGAUGUAAUUCAUGUUAAGGAGGAAGAAGAAAUACUAGUUUUAUCACUUCUGUGAAACAACUUAUAUGUCUUUAGGUACUGUAAUGAUGUUGCUUUGUGCACUUGGUGCAGCUUGUUGCUCAAGUGAAUGGAGAGCUGCAGUUUACGGCUGCUUUCUGAAGAUGUAUUUGAGUUAGAAGUUUCUACUUUUUCUUGCAGUAUAUUCAAAAACUAGUGGUAUCACAUGCAAGAAAAUGGUUUUAAGAUUUGCUGUUCAUGUUAGACUUUCAUAAGAAUAAAUUUGUCCUGAAUAGAUGUCAUUGCUCAUUUGCUAGGAUAUUUUGUUCAAUGUUGCAAAAUGUUCUCGUAGUGAUGCAAGUGCUACUUAUUUCUAACUUGCAAAAUGCUCUCUUAGUGGUGCAAGUGCUACCUAUUUUUAACUUGCAAAAUGUUCUGAAGUCUCUGUCCAUGUAGCUAGAAUAGUUCUGUAUUGCAAAGUGGUCUGCCCAUUAAGUCUGAAGCUUCAUGCUGCUCGUAUAGGAGAUGAGGCUGCAAAUAGUGAUGAUUCAAGUUGUGACAUGGACUCUUCAAGAAUUUUAAGAGUUAAGACACUGCAUAUUAGCUCGCCCAUUUUGGCUGCUAAAAGCCCUUUUUUCUAUAAGGUAACCAUUGCCUUUGUUCUUUGCUGCAUUUGUUAUUGCUUUACAAUUGGUGGAUGAUCGGUAAUUUGCUUUUGAGUACAUGUAGCUCUUUUCGAAUGGGAUGAGGGAGUCGGAGCAGAGACAUGUAACCCUGCGAAUUAAUGCCUCAGGUAUUGUUGUAAUUUGGGCAUUUUUAAUAGCUGAAUCAUGUUUGUUUUGGGUUCUUAUCAGAGUAAAAGUAGUCAUAUUCCUUUUGCUUUCUUUGAAAUGGUUGCAAAGGAUAACUGCAUGUGUUUUGAAUGGAGUAUAUAUAGAUUGUGACUAUUUUCUGAUUAAUACUACCAUCUAUUUGUUUCUCCAUGUUGUGUUGCAGAGGAAGCUGCCCUUAUGGAGCUCCUGAAUUUCAUGUAUAGCAAUAGCUUAAGUACAACCACAGCACCUGCUUUGCUGGAUGUGCUGAUGGCUGCCGACAAAUUUGAAGUUGCGUCAUGUAUGAGGUAUUGUGGCCGUCUUUUGCGUAAUUUGCCGAUGACACCAGAAUCUGCAUUGCUAUAUCUGGAGCUUCCAUCUAGUGUCUUGAUGGCUGAAGCAGUACAGCCCUUGACUGAUGCAGCAAAACAGUUCUUAGCUAUUCGCUACAAAGAUAUAACAAAGUAAGUCACCUGGUCAAUACACCUGUAACUUCCCUCCCGCGCCUCUGGCAAAUGGGAAAAAGAAAUAGUGGAGAAAAGAACAAAAAUGUUUGUGUCACUUUUUAACAUGUUCUUUCGUUGUGACUUUUUGUGAUCUCCUACCGUUUUCACGUGGUUUCCUUUUGUAGCCAUGUUAAGCACAAAACUUGAGGAUUUUCAACUCUAUAUGAGUUUGCUAUUGCAGCUAAUGCUUACUGACAUAUGUUGGCUAAAAAGAAAAGGGUUUCCUUGCCUGCAUGUCAAAUAAGCUGGAUAUAUUUGUUAAGUUGUGUUUCUUAACGUAGAUAGUGGACUGACAUCAUAUGAAUAAACUGAUGAAGUAAAUUGUCCGGUUUUAACUUUUAUUUUUUGACGUGAAUCACCUUGGUUAGGUUUCAAGAUGAUGUUAUGAACUUGCCUCUGGCUGGAAUUGAGGCAAUUUUGGCCAGUGAUGAUCUCCAGGUGGCAUCAGAGGAUGCUGUUUAUGACUUUGUAUUGAAGUGGGCUAGAGCUCAUUAUCCCAAGCUAGAGGAGCGGCAGGAAAUUGUUGGCUCUCGUCUUAGCCGCUACAUCCGCUUCCCUUACAUGACCUGCCGAAAGCUUAGGAAGGUUCUGAAUUGCUAUGACUUUGAGCAUGAACUUGCUUCCAAGUUUGUUCUUGAGGCCCUCUUUUUUAAGGCUGAGGCACCACAUCGCCAGCGCAUUCAGGCAGCAGAGGAUUCCGCCUCAAGUAAUCGUCGUUAUGUGGAGCGGGCUUACAAGUACCGUCCUGUAAAGGUGGUUGAGUUUGAACUUCCCCGCCAGCAGUGUGUUGUCUACUUGGAUCUUAAGCGGGAGGAGUGCGCGAACUUGUUUCCUUCUGGUCGAGUAUAUUCACAGGCAUUUCACUUGGGUGGGCAAGGUUUUUUUCUAUCUGCACACUGCAACAUGGAUCAACAGAGUUCUUUCCAUUGUUUUGGUCUGUUUCUGGGGAUGCAAGAAAAAGGUUCAGUGACAUUCGCUGUAGAUUAUGAAUUUUCUGCAAGAUUAAAACCAACAGAGGAGUACAUGAGCAAAUAUAAGGGUAAUUACACUUUUACUGGGGGAAAAGCUGUUGGGUACCGGAAUUUAUUUGGUGUGCCAUGGACUUCUUUCAUGGCCGAAGACAGUCUCUAUUUUAUCAAUGGUAUACUCCAUCUUAGGGCUGAGCUUACCAUGAAGCGAUGACUCCUAAUCCUAUGCAUUCAAGAAAGAGCUGCACUUUUGCCUCUCAGGCCGAUCUAGACUUCAAUUAGUCAGGAUUGGAGAGGGCAAAGAAGAUUGUGCAAAGCUGGCACCACUAACAUUUCUCUGAAUCAGUUUUUGGAUGACAUUGUAAGCACUCGUUAUGAGCCAAGCCAGGCUAUAGGUGAAGGUUGUAAAUGAUCUUUCUGGAACUGGGAAUGUCUCGUCUGACCUGUUAAGAACGCUUUUUAAGAAAUAUACAGGCUAACCGUGAAUUUUGUGAUUAGGUUGCGUUUGCGUGAUGCGUUCUUGUUUUUGUUUUUUAUUUGCCGAAGCUGAUAAAACAUGUUAAGAGAGAGAGGGUGCUUUUGGAUCGCUUGCUUUUACAUAUUCUGUCUAGCAGCCGCCGAGGCCGGAACAUUCUUCUUGAUGCUAGUAGUGUCCUUUGCCUGGCCUGGUAUAUGAUUGCCGUUUAGUAGCUUUGACUUUUAAGGCUGAGGGCUGCUGCUGGUGAUACUCAUUUCCUCCCUCCUCAAACUUGGUGUACGUAGAUUAUGACUGGAGACAUAUUAUACAUUAUUAUUGUGGCCAUUUUAUGUCCAAAUGUGCUUGACUAGGUUUUGCCCUGUGGGGUUUCCAUCCCACAUCGGUUUCGGGGGGGUUGGGUUUGGGUUUAUUAGUCCCUAGGAGCUCCUCAAGAGUUGCCGGCUUUUGAGGUGUCUUCUGGGAUAAGGUUAAUAAGCAAAAGUUUUGUCGUUUCGGUAAAAAGGUGUGCCUCUUUUUUCUUUUUUUUUUCUCUUCAGUAAAACGGAGAGACAGAUGCAUAUAAGAAAGGUAUGCAAAAUUGGAAAUUUCGUUGCCCUUGAAUCUUAUUCUUCAGAUUGGGUAGCAUAUUCCAACGCAUCAUGCGCGGAAUCUUUUGUGCCUGUCUAGUCGAGGUUGAACUACUAUUAAUGGUUCGUUGGCUGGAAGGAAUCCUUUCUGCUUCCUUCCUUCUCCACUGUGUUUCGACGUGUGUGUCACUUGGUUUCUUUCAUAUUGAAGUAAAGGUAAUUCUGAUAGUAAGAAUGGGGCAAGGAAUUCACGAUUGACCCAAAAAAAAAGAAAAGAGGUAGUAGAUUUUUACAUGAUUAGCAAUAGAAAUAUUCUUUAACAACAAAUAGAAAGCAAGAACAAAUGUUAAAAGGUAUUUUAAGACACAUGUUUGACCACCAAAAUUAUGCAUUUUGUUUUCACCAACCUCCCCGUCACUAAUGACCGACAUUCUAUAAUUUUUUUUUCAAGUGAGAGGCUUUAAAUCUAUAGAACUUUUGAUUUACAAUCUCUUUUUUCUUACCAUCCAAUCCAACGCUCCUCCCUCGUACUUUUCAUAAGUUUUGAUGAGCCUUAGUUUAACACCGACAAAACCAACUGUAUUAAAUUUUAUCCUAGAGCAUUUGCAUUUUGUCUCUUAUCUUAUGAGGAAAAUAAACACUCAAAAUUAGUCUAGUUAGUGGUAGACAAUUCUUGGCAUAGGGUCACAUCGUCUUGUUAUCAUAAUCCUGAGGAAACAAUUGUUCAAAUAUAUUAAGUUCAACCUAAUCCUGGUUCGAUAUAAAUUUUAGGCCUAUUUUCAAUUGAUUUUGUAGACAUGCUUUUAACUUCUAAUUUUAAAAAAUAAUUUUCUCAAUUGUUUUUUUUUUCAACAUUUAGAUUUUCUAAACCUAAAAAGAGUCAGAAAUUAAAAGUUACAAGAUAGUUGCUUCUUUAGAUUUUAAUUUUAACUUUUCAAAAGAUCAGAAUUAGCGAUAACUUUUCAAUAUAUUCUUACUGAUAGUAAAAUUUGAUGAAACCCCCCAUCCUUUUGGGAUUAAUACGACAACUUACUUACAACUUAUGUGGAUUAAUCCGAGUACAGUACUAUGAGCUUAAGAAUGGACUGCAGCUAUAGCAAGGCUAAAACAUGGCUCUUAAAUUCUCAUUCAUGAUACGAAAAAAUCAAUCACCCUUGGGAGUUGAGAUUUAAUACCCGAGGGGCAUAAUUGUCUACACAAACAAAAUCUAAGGCGGAGGAGCGUCCACUUGUGUGUGUGUGUAUAUAUAUAUAUAUUAUAAUAGUCGUAAUUCAACGCUAGGUGUAGGUAUUCUCUCUACUCGCUGUCGUGUAGGCGGCGUAGUUUGGCAGUGGUAAAUAUUUCCACAGAAUAAUAAGGGAGUGUUAAAAAAAAAAGAAGACGGCAGCAGCUUCGCGACCUAUUUAGGGUUUGUCUAUUUCUAUUUAUCCAAAUCGAUCAGAAUAGUCAUCAAUCCUAGGGUUUCGGAAGAAGAAGAAAGAAGAAGAAGAUGCCGAAGAACAAGGGUAAGGGAGGUAAGAAUAGGAAGAGAGGAAAGAACGAGGCCGAUGAUGAGAAGAGAGAGCUAGUUUUCAAGGAAGACGGCCAGGAAUAUGCUCAGGUUCUGAGGAUGCUCGGUAACGGCCGUUGUGAAGCUAUGUGUAUCGACGGCACCAAACGUCUCUGUCAUAUCCGUGGUAAGAUGCACAAGAAGGUCUGGAUCGCCGCCGGUGACAUCAUCCUCGUCGGCCUCCGUGACUACCAGGCACGUUCCUUGCUUUUCCCUGUCCUUUUUUUUAAAUAUCUGAAUAAUAUCUUUACUCCUUGUUUGUGUUUUCAGAUCUUAAUAAUAAUAUUUCCUAUACUGUUUUUUAUUUUUUAAUUGUUCCCGUUGCUGGAUUUUUCUCGAUUUUGAUAUGAAAUCAGCAAUAGUUGACUGCCGAAAUUGUUUUGAUUUGUGACGGUAUGCCCUUUUUUCUUUUUCUUUUUUUUUUUAAAAAAAUCUUGUAGCAUGGUGAAGCUUCGGUGUUGCAUAAUUCGUAAUUCAACGUAAUUAACUAAACCUGAGUUAUUUCCUUUAGACAGCUUGAAUUUUUGUACUAGACUCUAAAAAUUGGCGAAUUGGAUGUAAGAUUUCAAGUCUUUGAAGUAAACAUGUAUAAGUUGGGGUGAGCUGGAGUGAACAUGUCUGGUUUGUUGCGAGUCUGCAUAGAUAGCUUCUUGAGCACAAAGGCAUGGAGUUCCGCUUAGAAUCAAAUAGGAAUUAGUGAAUUCAAUCUAACCCGGGCAGGUCAGUUUACUUCCGUCAGGGUGGUUAAAUAUUUUGGCGUGGGCUUAUCCUAUUAUUGUUUAUUGUGUGUGUGUGUUUUUUAAGCCUAUGUAGUCAGAAAUUUAUCUAUUGGGUUGUGAACUCUUUUUUUUUUUUUUAAUUCCUGGACUUUUAUUGAUGGUUAUCUCACUCUUCUUGUUGUUUUUAUAAAAUAUACAGGAUGACAAGGCUGAUGUUAUCCUCAAGUACAUGCCAGAUGAGGCAAGGUUGUUGAAGGCAUAUGGUGAGUUGCCUGAGAGCACUCGGCUCAACGAGGGUAUUGCUGGUGGACUGGACGAGGAGGAUGAUGGUGCUGGAGAUGAUUACAUUGAGUUUGAGGAUGAGGAUAUCGACAAAAUCUAAACUCGUGUCCACUUCAACUUUGUUCUGAGGCCUUUGUUUGCCUUGGAUUAUAAUUAGCUUGGGAUAUUAUUAUUUAGUAGAAACUGCGAGGAGAGGUAUUGAUUGUGUAAUGUUUGAAGUGAUAUAAUGAAAAGGGUGCCUAUGCGAUGUAGCUCAUGUACCCAAAGAUUCUGCUUUGGCAGCCUGGUUACAAUAAUAGCACUUUAAUUUACAUUCAUCCAUUAUCGUGAUUGUUGUGUGGUGUCCCUUUGUGCUGAAGGUUGGGUUUGUCUCUUAUUGAAGCAUAUGUAGUUUCCAGUUGUCGGUGGACUGUGGGCAUCACAUAUACUUUUUGCUGGUUAUUGAGGUAGUUUUUGCCAGUGGUUGGACUUUAAGGGGUUAUCUUGGCAGAGACCAAAUUGGUUUCAGCCUUGAUUUACCCCAUAAGUUGUCUACUUUGAGGAAAGGAGGUUACAUCUUUCGCUUUAUCAUCAGGUAAAUGAGUGCUUUGAAUGCUUGAAGUUUUCUUCUUCUUUUGCAUUUGAAAAAGAUGACUUAUUUUGCCUGUAAGGCUGUAAUAGACACAUUUAACAGACGUGGAUGCUGGGUGUUUUAGCAUUGAAAUUGUACUUGACUCUGCCAACUGUUUGUGGUGGGGCGAGGACAGUUUUGUCGUCGCCUGUGUUUCGUGAUGUCUACUAUUAGUAGCUCUUAAGAUCCCUUCUAGAAGUUGUAGGCUGGAUUGCAUGCGACAGUGUUCUACCAAGUUCAUUUGGUUAAUUUAGUUUCAUCUUGCUCCUGUUCUAUCAUGUCAACCUUGAGUCUGCUCGUGCGUUGCUCAAAUUUUUGGAGACAGGAACCAUGUUCUGACUAACAUGGAUGUUCAUCAUGAAAUGUUGGCUUCUUGGUGUUUGUUUAUGCAGAAGUCGCAAUCUGUACACGAUAUAAACAUUUGCCUGAUGCCAAAAGAUGAAUAUGAAAGUUAUGUUUCCUUUUUUUUUUUUUUUUAGGAAAAAUAAUUUUGUAAAUAAUCCAAAAAUUUCCCAGCACGUACAUCAGCCGUUGUGGAAACGGUACUAUGGUUUUCUUGCCAACCAAGGGAAAAUUUUGGCAACCAAAGGCGAAAAAUCGUUCGAGCACCCAAGUCCAAUUUAUUAGAAUGUUGAAUCUCCAAUUCAUUAGAAUGUGGUAGAGAUGUUCAUUAAUAAAAUUCCGACAUAUGAUUGUUUCACCCCCCCCCAAAAAAAAAAAAAAUAGUAAAAUAUUUAAAGUUAGCGGCAGGAAGUUCUAAGCCAAUUACCUACUUCAAUUUUGGUCAAGUUUUGCAGCAAAGCCAGAAGAUAUCUAAAGAGAGCACCUAAUUGCUGCCCAUUUUAGGAAAUCCUGGAGCUCCCAAAGAAGAAAAAUAGGGUGACAGGGCUGGAGUCAAGCUCAAGCAAACAUUGAAGCCUCCCCCGAAGGCUCAAGUAAAAAGUCACUAUUCCAGUGAUUGCAAAGAAACUAGUACUGGCACAUGAGCUACAAGCCCCGUGUUAAGUUGUCGGAUGGCCUACGGGCAGCUAUUCCUACCAGACAUCGGCGUCUGAAAUGUUGUAGAACGACCAACUGCAUUAUGGGCCAACAACUAUGCAGUGCAAGAAAUUUUCAAGCUACUUCAAUAACAGAAGACCAAGAUACAAAUCAGGAUCAAUGAACUAGUAAAAUGAAUUCAGGUCCUAUGUACAAAUCCUAGCGUUCAUGCAAUUAAGGUCAAUGAGCCCCAAAUUCACUUAAGAAACCAAGAAAAGAAAAAGGGUAGUCUGAUCAACAAAAUUUCUUAAUCCACCUUUCAACUGAUAAGGAAGUUCAACAAAUUAAAGACAACUAAAGAAAUAAUCUCCCUGUUCACGAGAAACAGCAGUGAUGUCAAUGACCAGCAACUCAAAAAAUGUUGAUCACCAGAGAGCCACUAAUAUGGUAUCCUACAAAAGCUGAAUAUGGGGCUUGAUACUCUCUCAAGCCAAUUAUUGGUUUAGCAAACCAUUGGCACUACCAGAAGGGAAUUCCCAUCUGCUUUCAAAACAGAAUUCGUAAGCAAUGAGCAAAUUCAACUAAUUGCUCAAACAAAUUGGGUUAAUGAUCAAGAACCACCAAAAGGGCAGAUAUGGUAAUGUUUAGAAGCUUUUGCUUGCAUUAAUCCGCUUAAACCACAGAAAUUCCAUGCCAAAAAGACUGGAAUCCUUAAAAAAUUCACUGUUCCUUUUGGUGGAAAAGGAUAACAAAAUUAUACCUGAUUUACAUUACAAGUCAAAAACAAGCAAGAAGUAAUAAUAAUAAUAAUAGGAAGAACAGUAAAUUCAUACUAUGUACAAAAGAUCAAUGCAGAAAAACUGAGUAUUCCAGAAGAGACCAAGCAAAAGCUGAUUUGCCCUAUUCUCCAUCCCUUCAUUUGCAGAACACAACCAAAUUGCAACUGUAACUUGCCCACUGACAAAGUUUGGAGUUGUUUUGUUACAUUGCCACGCAACUUUCAGCAAGUGCAGUUCUCUAGCACGAACAGAGCUGCAUACGGAGAUUUAUAGGCAUAUGUUUCUCUCAGGUGCAAUUUAGGAUCUUCACAUUAAAAGCAUUCUAGGUAAUUUGAUAACCAUUCUGACAAUGAACUAGUGCAGAGAUGACUAAAAAGGCACUCUUCUUCACAAUGAACUCAAUUACAGAAAGACCGCUCGUAGCAAGAAGAGAAUGCACAUAUUUGUAAAGAAAGUGAAAUUUGAAAAUGCACCAUAAAAUAAAUAGAACCAGAAAAUUCAGCAAGAAGACAGUAAAUGCAGUAAAAAGAAACCCAAAAAGAAAAAAAAAACAAUAUUACUAAGUAAUAAAUAAAAUUUCAGGCGAUCAUCUAAGUUUUUCCUUGCCAGAACUCCUCUUGGCUGCUUCCUUAACCUUCUCAAGAUACCCUUCAAUAGGAGGUGUCAAAGUAGCCAUAAAUCGAUUCGCCGGAAAGGGGGUCAAAUCCGGGACCAAAGCAGCAGCCUUCAGACCCUCAGGUAAUGCCUCAAUAGCUUCUUUCUUACACCUCAAGAAUGCAGACUCAGCAGCCUGUCUAGCUCUAUGCUUCCUCAUCAGAACCCUGCUAUACUCCUUGGCAAGCCUUCUACCAUCCUCAACAGUCAACUCAUAUUUAGGAAUCUUGUCGGCAUCAACCAAGCCCAGCGUAAUCAAAUCCAAUCCUGGGGUACCCAUCAAAAAUGGGGAAUCAAAUUCAUUCUUCAUUUUCUUCCAUUUCUUCCCCUGUUCUUCCAUUACCUUACUUUUCAGCCCCAUCUUUUCUCUCUCGGCUUCCCUAGCUUUUUCCUUAGGCUUCAAGAAUCUAAUUGGGGAAGUCGAAGCCAAGCACUCGUCGACCAAUUCAUCAAAUUCGGAUUUUCUUCUGGGCCCACCAUCUUUCUCAUUCGAAUCACCCGACCCAGUUCCUUUCUUGGUUGUUACCUUCGAUCUCUUCAAUGGCUGUGCUCCUUUGAUUUUAGAUUUCCCUUUUGCAGUUCCGCUGACUAAGCAUCUUUGCAGAAAUUGAUAACUCAAAGACUCCAGACAAGCGUAUGAUGAGCCCAAAGAUCUCAUUUUUCUAGCCUCAGCUAUUCGCAUCAUCCUUUUGCAGUUACAAAAGGUCCAAUUUUCUGGGUCUAACGGCGGCGAAGGGGAUGAGGAACGGCGAUUUAGUUACCCGAGUCGAGGUUCUCUGAGGCAGCCGAAACCCCUUCCCAUUCGGCAAAAAGUUUGCCGCUUCAUAAAACCCCUCGCUUCAGUCCCUUCAAGCUUCAUAAACCCCUUGCUAUUGAGGACCGAAUAUUUUAGGAAUUCUGUAAAUGCCCCAGUGCAAAUACCUUCCUUCGCUUCAGCAUACACAAAAUUCCCUAAUGUCAAAAAAAAAAAAGUGUGCCGUUUACAAAAUUAUUUUGGCAUAAUUUAUAUUUCUCACGGAAAUAUAAGAGAGCAGAAGUGUUAGCAAAAUAGUCUGGAGACUAAAAAUAUGUUAAUUUCUUAAACUAUCAAUCUAAACAGGAAAAUAGUUGGUAUAUCGUCCUUACUGUAGAAUAUGGCGGAGAGCCAAUUUUGUCCCUAAACAUUUUUAUUAGUGUCGAUUUAAUCCCUAACUUUUAUUGCUAAUUAAUUUGAUACGUGAACUUAUUUUGCGGUAAAAAUCUUCGUGACAGCGCCACCACCUAAAAGUAAUCUGGCUCCUAAUUGACCAACUAAACAGGGGUAUGUUAGGAACGUCAUUCACAGAGUAGUAAUAAAUCAAGUAAAAUUAUGUAAAAAAACCAUUAGAUAAGACUUUUAAAUCGUUUAAAAAAAUCACCCAAUAAAACUUUUUAAAAUUCAAUCUUGUGAUUUUUUUACACGAUUUACUUGAUUUAUUACAACUCCGUGAGUGAUGUUUCCAAAAUAUCCGUAUUUAGUUGGUCAAUUAGAAGUCCAAUCCGUUUUAGGUGGUAAUGCCACCAUCGAAGUCCUUAAUUGGAACUGCAAAAUAAGUUUACGAAUCAAAUUGGUUAAAAAUAAAAGUUUGGCAUAUAGACACUACUGAAAAAGUUUGAGGACAAAUUUGGCCACUUUCCCGAACAUGAGUUAAAAAAAUGUUUGGUGUUUGGAUUGUAAUUUUCUAUCAAAAAAUUUUUUUGUAUUCGUGAACACAUUUUCUAAUCAUCGUUUUACAUCAUAUACAUUAAAUCACUAUAGUAUAUUUCUCUACAAAAACUCCAAAAAACAACAAUCCAAACAAGAUUAAACCAUAAAUGUACAUUUGAUAAGCUGUUAAUCUGCAGGCUUGGUCUAUAUACUCUACAGACAGGUUGAAGAAGAUAUUGAGAAGCAGAGGUUUAAGUAUACCUCUGAACAAGAAAUAUACAAGCUAGAAUGAAUGCUGAAUCAUUAUUAAUAGAUAAGCCAGUGUUACAAUACAUGAAACAUCUAUUCUACAUAAUCAAACCAACUGCCUCUUAUACAGAAAAUCUAUUAACCAAUUUGAGCCGCUGCUGGAAUUAUGCAAGGCAAGUUUGGCUGCCAAUCUCAUGGAUCUAUUCAGUCCCAGCGAUCUUCUUCUUCAAAGAUUCAAUAUCUUCUGCCAAUUCUUUCCUACU